UUCAUAAUAAAAAUGUUCUCCCUUUGAAUUUCUCUCACGCACAGGUCAUAUAUUAGAUCAUGAACCUUACAUGAUCUAAUUUUUGUUCCAUCUAGACUUUUCUUGCAGACGAGGACUAAACAUCUGUCGACAAGCUCUUGCAAACACUUCUCAGCCUCUCCUUCCAAAUCAUUUUCCAACUGAACCCCUCAGCCAUCCUUGAUCUCAUCAAUUUCUUCACUGCUAUACCACUGUCUUCUGGAAAAAUUCCGAAAUGCAGUAGACAAGUCUUUAGAUCGCUAGUCAAGUGAUUGUAACUCAACCCAAGCACACGUGAACAUCGUUCAUCAGGAUCAUUUGUGACAAGUGACUUGACAUCUUUCACAACAGUUCUCCAAUCUUCUAUUGCCCUUUUAGAUUUGAGAACUCCAGCAACCACGACAAUAGUUAGUGGUAACCCGUGACAUUCAUCUGCGAUUUGCUUCCCAACAGUCUCGAACUCAUAUGGUAAUGCUUCACUUGAGAAUGCGGCACUUUUAAAAAGGCUCCAACUCUCAUCUUGAUCCAUGAAAUCCAUUUGCAUAGAAAGAUUCUCUGUACCAGCAUAAUAGGCUACUUCAUUGUUACGGGUAGUCAACAAUAUUCUAUUCCCUGCAUUGUCUUCAUUUGGAAAGCAUUGCCUCACGCCAUCCCACACUUCACAACUCCAGAUAUCAUCCAAGACAAUAAAGUACCUCUUUCUCUUUAAACUUUUCUGUAGCAUGUCCGCUAGCUCUGCUUCACCUUUCGUCUUAACCGUGUCAUCCAUUUUGAUCGUCGAUUGCAGAAGGCUCAGCAAAAUUUGCUUUAUGUUGUGCUGUUGAGAUACAGUAGCCCAGGCACGAACAUCAAAAUGGCGUAGAAUUGAUUCAUGAUUGUAAACUUUGUUCGCUAAGGUUGUUUUACCUAUGCCUCCCAUCCCGUCAAUCGGGAUGACUUUGGGUUCACCAGAGUAGAUUCUCGUAAGAUCUUCUACCAACCGUUUCCUUUGAUCGUCAUGUCCAACCAUACUGUUCUCAACAUUUGUGUAUUCCUCUGAUGUUUUGUUGAACCAUUGAAAAAUAUUGAACCAUUGAAAAAUCAUGAAGCAUUGAAAAAUCUUGAACCAUUGAAAAUUCAUCACGUUCCCUUUAUCUUGAAUAUUUGUUGACUCUUUCCAGAUACGAUCGAUGUCCUCUGCUACUUGUUGCAGGCUAUCAGAAAGCAUCUCUUGUGCCUUUUCUCUCAGAUUUUCAUCAUUUGCCAAUACAGCUUCAGUCACUCCUAGUUGAAUUGUUUGUUCAACAAUAUUUGCAACUUCUUUUAUCUGCACUUCCAAAUCUGUCAGUUCCCCAGAAACAUUGCUUUUCUCAAAGUUCUUGACAAAUACUUCCAACGAACUAACUUUUUCAUGAAGAGUGAAAAAUUCUUCUCUGUGAUCAAAGGAUAGAGAUUGCAUCGGCGAAUUGGAUGUCAAGCGCGAUUCUACUGUUCUCGUAAGAGAAUCCACACUUGCAUGAGCCAUAUCUACUGUAUUCUCAUUUUUGUCCUGUGUGACUAUGACCUGAAAGCUGCAGGUUGCAAGAUGUCAAUGCUAUUAGAGAUACCGUGAUACACAGAUUGGCAAAAAACGCAAGCAUAAACUAAACAAGAUCAGGCGAUUUAAUAGUCUGUUUCAUGUUCAGGUCAGUUAUGUUAGUACAGAUGAUUUUGCACUUUGAUAGUUUAAUCUAUUAAUCUCUAACUCUUUGAAUUUGGUUAAAGAUUGGGGAAAUAAUUAAUAAAGGAAAUAACAUAUAAUUACCGGUUAAUAAUAGACACGCACAAAAAGUUCUGCAAAAAUCUCUUAACUAUUUCAUCCAACUCUCAGAUAGUCUCAAUCAAUCACAAAAGUAAAAUGGUUUUCUUGCACGAGGGUUUAUCAAAAAUAAUCACUCGUGUAAUUGCAAAGGUAGGGGUAAGGUUUGUAUAUAUCUCACCCUCCUGAUACCCCACUUGUGGGAUUUUCUAACUUUUCUAGAAAGUCAGAUGAUAAAAUUAAAGGACAUUUUAGUCUAAGACUACAAGAUUCAAAAAUCUUCUUUAAUUUCUUCAACUUCGUGUCAUGUCAAAUUCAGACAAACAAAUUCAAAUGGACCUUGGUUUUCCACCGUAUACUUGGAGGAAACAGAUAUUUCCUUUGCUUGACAAAGAAUGGCGUACUUUAGUUUUUUACUCUAUUUCAAAAAUGAGUUAUUAACAGUUAUUAACUCAGAAAAAUGAGUAAUUAAGGGAAACUAACCUUUCAAUGAUUAUUUGGGAAUACAGAAAGAGAGUUGGGAAGAAGGAACUGAUCACUGCAACAAAAUACUAUAAAGAACACAAAUAUGAGUAUAUAAAAACAAAAAGAUAUAGUAGCAAGUAAUCAAGAUUAAAAUCAAGAGAAAAAUGGCAUACCUCUCUGAGUGUCUAACGAAGUGUUUGCCUUCUGAUAAAUUGGGAUGAGAACUUCAAUUAUUGUUGCAUGUGGUGUAAGUGCUUUUAUAUAUUUAAAUGGAACAACACAUCAACUGUUUUUUAAGAUUAAAAGUUAUUAAAUGAUGAUUAUGCAGAUACAUACCUUUAUUAUAUUUUAAAAAUAAAGAACACUAUUUUUGUUGUCAUGUUCUUCUUCUGAAUUGCAUUUGAGCGAGGUUCCAUCGAAAACAACCUCUCUACCUCCAUGAGGCACUAGCAAAGGUCUGCAUAACACAUCCUAGAUGUCACUUAUGCAAUUAUGUAAAGAUAUAUUAAAAAAAAAGACCGUGGCCAAUUUGUUGUACCAAUCACCAAUUUUUUAAUACAUAUUAGCGGCCUGACACUUAUAUUUUGUGACCUAAUAAAUCAAUAAAAAAAUAAUAAGAUAAGGGUGGAGGAUCAAAAAAAAUCCCCAGCUUUAGGAGCACAAUGGAACAUGACUCAAUUAUCAAGACUACAUUUGAUUUGCAAAAAGUAUUGAGUUACCAUUCAGAAUAAGGUUUGGUUCUAUCCAUAGAGAUUCCAUAACUAGUCAAAACUGGCAAGUUCAAACAUAAUUGGGAUUACUAUUUCAUGACCUAUGUAACACCCUGCAUUUCGGGGCAUUAUAGAAACCAUGAUUUCGAUGCGUUGAUAAUCCCGAAGCCAUAACUCCUAUGCCAAUAUGGCAUGUUAAUUAUUUUCAUAGUAUGUGAAUACAUUCAUGCUUGAAUUUAGACCAUAGAGGUCCUUCAACUCAAGGAUGAGUUGAAACUAUUUCGAUCGAUUAAGUUUUAGUGGACAUUGUAAUUUGUGUCAGAUUCCAUUCACCAUAACUCUCUUCAUAUGUCUAAUUAGAGGGCCUACUAUUUGUCAAAUAAUAGGUCUUUGAGUUAGCUUUCCAACGAUACCAAUUUUGCUAAAAUCCAACACCCGAGCAAGAAGUUAUGGCCUUUCAAAGUAGUAGGCAGCGCCUAUGUAAACAUAGGCGAUAGCAUAGGCAGCGCCUAUGGAAAGAUUUCAGGUGACUUAAACACUCCGUUUUUCGGGCAAAAUGGUCUUUUUCCACCCUUACUUAGCCCUAAACACGAAAUUCAGUUCCCAAAGACCCUAAAAUACACCUUCAUUCAUCAAAAUUGUUUAAGAAUUCUGUCUAGGGUUUCAAAAUAAAAACCCAAGAAACUCAAGAUUCAACUGUGGGUUUUAGAAACUAAUUACAUAUUUGGAAUCCUAUCAACAUAGGCUUCAAGAAGCAUCUAAUAUUCGUAGUAAUCGAGGUAUGUGGGGUUAUCUCAAAAAUAUAAUGGGUUUUAAAAAUUCAUGUUUUCAAAUGGGAGUUUUGAAAUUACGAAUAUGAUUAUGUUUUUAAACAUUUUAUGAUAUUGAUUUGGCCCUUAGGCCUACUCCCAAAGUGAUUUGCUAUAUGAUAUAUGUAUAUGCAUGUAUUCUGAAAAGAUAUUAACUUGAGAGCAUGAAUGAUAUGAAAUUUCCUCUCUUGAUGUGAAUUUGUUUUAAAUGUUCAUAUGAUGUAAAUUAUUUGAAAACAUCUUGAAGAGCAUGACAUGAAAUGUUUUGAGAAUUGAUAUGAUUUUGACUUGAAAAUGAGAAGGUUAUUCAUGUUGAAUACAACGGUUGAAUGAGAAGAAUGGUGUGAUAUUGAUUUCUUGCAAUUCGGGUAUGACAAUACCCUACAGAGUAUGACAUAUGAUAGAUUUGAACAAAAUUUGAAUGCAUUGAUUUUACAUGAGAUAGGUGGAUGCCCGAAGAAUGCGUUUGAGUGUAAGGGCUCAUCGUUGAAAAUCGUGUUUGCCGACACGGGAAUUUGGUACAAGGCUAAGUGAUGUUGAGUACUUGACUUUAUGUCAUUCCCAAAUUGGGAUUAUAGGUAGGAGCCCAGGCUAAGUGAUCUUGGGCACCACCAUUGGGUCGAGACACCAUGCUUCAUAGUCUUAUGUGUCUCUCCCUCACUUAUACUCUAAUCUCGGUGGCAAUCGAGGAUUGAUAGUUGGUGUAAAUUAUGUAGGGUAUUCCACCUAGCUCAGUUGCAUUUCAUUGUUAUUGAAAACAAUUACACUAUGCCCAUGUGUUUUCAAAUGAUUUGAUAUGAAACUACUUUAUAAUGGCCCUCACCUAUAAUAUGUAAAAAUAUUAUACUUCUGUUUUGAUUUCUCUUCAUACCAGUACGUUUGUAUUGACCCCCUUCCCUCCCUGGUUCGGAGGCACAGUCUAGGGGUCCAGAUAACCAGUAAAUUUCUUCUGACAGAUCGCAGAAUCAAGUGGUAAGCCUUCUAUAUUUCGGAAGGCCUGAUGUCUGCUAUUUCAUUUAUCAUUUAUUAGUUUUGGGUCUGCUAGGGGCCUUGUCACAGUUUUCAACUAGACAUUGUUUUAGUCACGUAGUAGAGAUUUCCUAGACGGUUUUAGAGAUGUUGAUUUAGAUUGUGGGACACUAUUCCCUAUUUUCGUUUUCAUAUGAUUCUUGACCAUGUUUUCGUUAUAUUAUGUUUCUUCCACAUUUCUUUUGUCAUGAAUUAUGUGCAUGAUUAUCAGACAGAUAGGGGUGUUUUGAGCCUUUAUGGUUCGGAAUGCUCAUCGGCCAGGGCCCCGGUUCGGGUCGUGACAAACGUAGUAUCAAAGCACGGUUCAUGGUCCUAGGGUGUCUGCUAAAUCAUGUCGGGUAAAGUCUUGUCUAUGGGUGUGUAGCACGCCACACUUAUAAGCAGGAGGCUACUAGGCGUUUAGGAAUGUAUCUUUUUCUUCAUGUUCUAGUCCAUGCAAUAGAGUCAGAAUAUUCCUCUUUCAUACUCAAAUUAAUGCUAUGGUAUCGCCCAUAUGAAAGUAAAAGUCAUCCCAAUUCUUUCCUUACUCGGACAUUCUCAGACAUGUCUCAUCAUUGGUUCCAUUCAAGUAUAGCAGUUUAGAGUCUAAAUGGUAUGGUUUGUUCUGAUCGAAUCAUAUAAGAUUUUUGCAAGGACUUGAGUAGAGUCCGUUAGUGCUUCAGAGUGAGGACGAUUUACCUCUUUAUAGUGAUAAACUAAUUUGGUAGCUAGCAGCAUGUUUGGAUAGUAUGGUAGUCUAUGGAGGAAGUGUUUUACUCCGAUUCUAUUUCUACAUAGUAAGAUGUGUAUUCUUAGUUCAUUGAAUAUUGCGUAUUAAACUCUAUCUCAUGAAAUAUUGUCAUCAAAGUGUUGUUGAAACAUAAAGUCUAGUGAAGCCGUGAGGGGCUCUUUCGAUUCACUAGAAUAGUUGACUUGUCAUUCAUCCCAUUUUCUUGUUCAAAAUACAAAAUCAAAGUCUAGUGAAGCCGUGUGAGGCCUAUUUUGAUUCACUAGCAACUUUUUGUCCAACUUGUUGUUCUUGUGUAGGUUUAAUGUAUGUAUAGCUGAAUCUGGUUGUAUGAGAUUGAGCCGGUAAAGAGAUGAUUUGUCCUUGUGAGUUAGUUUAGUAUAAGGUAGAGAAGGAGUUGUUUGUCAGGGUGAUUUGUUAGUUGCUUGAAUGUGAAAAUGGCUAUAUUAGCGAGUAAUUUAUGAUUAUAGACUCAUGGUUGUUUGAGAAAUUUGAAGGCAGUCUAAAUGUAUGAUUGAGUGAGUAAGUAUGAGGGGAGAAAUUCAUAUAAGUAAAAAAAAAUUGUAUGGGGUUAUAAUAUAAGAUUAAGGUUGAUCAUGUCUAUUAUGUGACCUUACCCCAUGACCUUCUUUUGUUGGUAGUUGUAAACUAGUACUACUUAUGAGAAGGUAUAUAGCAGAUUUUGAAGUAUUUGGGAUUGAAUGCUCCAAUUUGAUGGAUUAGUAUAUUAUGUUGCACUCGUCAUUAGUGGUAGAUGAUUGAUGCUAGACCAUUGGCUUGAAUUUAAUGUAGGGUAUGGAUGUAAGAAUAGUGGCAUGAGAUUAAUGAUGUAUGUUUGUGGGAAUAAAUAUUAGUAGGCUUGAUGUGUUGAAAUAGUACGUUCUAAUGAGUUAUCAUAAGGAAGACCGUAAGGUCAAGGUCGAUUAUUGUUGUUAUGAAGUUUUAGUGUACUAGUGUUUCUUGAUGUUUAUUUCAUGGUUUCCAAAUGAGAAUCAUGCGUAAGGUUGGGUUGUAAAAUCAUGUUUAGCACUAGACAUUAAGUUUGAACAGUUGAAGUUCAUAAAGGUGGAUGUGAUGAUUUCUUGAUCAAUGAUGUUAGUUAUAUGAAAGUGAUCUAAUAGGCUUGAACGGUGUAUGCAAUUACUUAAGUUUAAAUAAAUUUGUAAUAAAGUAUAAUGUUGUAGGUAUGGUGUAGAAGUAUGCCAAGGUGAUAUGAGGUUGCGCCAUAUUUUUCUAAGACUAUUACAUAAUUUGUGUGGCUAGUAGUACCAUUGAAUUAUUAAGUGGAUAAAGACUAGUUAGAUGGUAUAUGGUGAUCUAAAUAGCCAUGUUAAGUGUUACAAUCUAAGUUUGAGUUUUGAAGGUUGAACCGAUAGAAAUAAGUGUGCAAGCAUUAUACUAUGACUAUUGGUGGCUAUGGAAAGAUUGAGUGUGUCCCAGAAGGUAGUCAUUCGGGUUAAGUUUAUGAUAUGCAUGUAUUGUCAUUUUUUUUCUUUCAGACCCUAAAGUGCAGUAAGUGUAGUUCAGUUAGAAUCUAGUAAGGGAUCUCACAAACUCUAGAUGAUGACUUGAAUCUAAGGGAGAGAUGAUAGAACGAAUGACCAAGUAAGUCUCUUAGAUUCUAGUAGUGAUAUAGUAUGAUUUAGAACGUCAGAAAGUGAGGGUGAAUCUCAACCCAUUCCUACCUCAGUAUUUUUUUUUAGUUAUUCGGAUACUUGCUCAUGCCUUACGAUCCAGUUCCCUGAUUGUAGUUCAUGAUUCCUGUAUAUGAUAGAGAGUCACGUACUCUUCCAGUUCCAAGAUAAUGAGUUAUAAUUCAUUCAAGUAGUCGGAAUCACAUUCCUUGUGUUAGGAACUCUAGUUGAGGUCAUGCAACUCAUGACGCAUGUACUCACUCUUUAUAGUGUGCUCAGUCCCGUAUAAAAAUCUUGUCAUGCUUCAGGGUCUUAUGUUUUAACUUCUUAGUGACCCUCCCUAUGCAAUGAUAGUGGUAAUGAUGUAAAUGUUCUUGUUGAUGGAAGAUCAUAGUACGUUUGUUUAGAUAAGGCCAUAAGUAUAAAAGUAAGAUUUGGGGCCAAUCUUUGAUACAUGUGAUGGUUAGUGGAAAAGUUUGUGUGUAUGUUUAGAAACUAUGUGAAGUAUGUAUUUAUGGGUGGUUUCCUUGAAGUAAACAUGUGGUUAUAAAAUAGGCUUGAAUGACGUUUUGGGAUUGUAGUGGGAGGUCGCAAUAUGCAUUAGCGACUUCAUAUUAAGAGUUCAGAGUAGUCAUUGAAGUGGUAAGUUCUAACAGUAAUUGGGAGCCACAAUUAUCAGCACUUCAAGAUUUUCUUUGAGUUAUAGUUUGUUCAGACCAAGUAUUUCAUUCAUAUUUCUCAUUUUAUGAUGUCACAGUGUUGAGUUCAUGCAUUUUAUCUCUAAGUAAGCUAGUAUAUGAAGUAGAAGGCUCAAAGGAUUAGCUUGGGGCUACUUGUAGCGUUAAGCACUGUGUGACGUUCCGAGACCCGGUUGCAGGGCGUUACACAAAUAUCCUACAUAAUCAGCAUCAAAAUAUCCUACCAAAUUCAAAUUACUACCUUUGGGAUACCAUAAUCCAAGAUCACUUGUUCCCUUCAAGUAUCUGAAGAUUCUUUUCACUGAUUUUAGAUGUGAUUCUUUGGGAUUUGCUUGAAACCUAGCACAUAGCCCUACACUAAACACAAUGUCAGGCCUUCUAGUUGUGAGGUAUAGUAAUGAGCCUAUUAUGCCUUUCUACAAUUUUUGCUCUACAUCAGGACCUGUUUUAUCUAGAUUAAUCUUUGUGGCAGUGAUAAUAAGAGUGUUGAUUUCCUUAGCCUUUUCCAUGACGAAUCUUUUGAGAAGCUCUUUGACAUACUUCUGUUGGUGUAUCAUUGUUUCUGAUGCUGACUAUUUUAUUUGAAAUCCUAAGAAGUAAUUUAGUUCUCCCAUCAUGCUUAUCUCAAAUUCACAACUCAUGAGUUUGGUAAACUCAUAAGUCAUAUUCCUGUUGGUUGAUCUAAAAAUAAUGUCAUCCACAUAUACCUGCACAGCUAACAAAUCCUUUCCAUUAUUUUUAAGAAAAGGGUAUUGUCAAUUUUACCACUGGAAUGAGGAUUCUCGAGUAGAAACUUUGACAACCUCUCAUACCAAGCUCUACAUGUUUGUUUCAGCCUAUACAAGGUUUUAUCUAGUUUAUACACAUGAUCAGGAAACUCCUUGCUUUCAAAUCCUGGAGGUUGCUUGACAUACACCUCCUCUUUGAGAGUGCCAUUCAUAAAUUCACUCUUCACAUUUAUCUGGUAGAGUAUAAACUCCUUGUAGACAGCAAAAGCAACAAGUAAUCUUAUAGCUUCAAGUGUUGCUACAGGAGCAAAGGUCUCAUCAAAGUUGAUUCCUUCCUCUUUAUUGUAUCCUUGGACCACUAACCUUGCCUUGUUUCUUGUGACUGUUCCAUGCUUAUCAACUUUAUUCUUAUACACCCAGUUGGUUCCAAUCACUGAUCUAUUUUUUGGAAGAGGAACUAAGUGUCAUUCUUUGCGUCCUUUAAACUAUUCAACUCUUCUUGCAUGGGUAUGAUCCAAUCAACAUCAAGCAAUGCUUCAGUUAUUUUCUUUGGCUCUAUUUCUGACAAAAAUGCCUUGAUGGCUCACAUACUUCUCAGUCUAGAUAUGUUAGUAAUCCCAGAGGUGAGCUUAAUGAGAACAUUCUCUAUAGGAUGUGAUCCUUGAUACUUGUAUCCCUUUGGAAUCAAGCCUAGUGAGCUACUAGGAUCACUAAUGAUAUUCUAAUCUGGGGUAGUUGGUAGAUCAUUUUCCCCUGUCACUGUUCCUUCAGCUUUAGUUCCCCCUGUUGAGGUGCCUACAGGUUUGGUAGUUCCAGUCAAUGAAUCGGGUUGUGUAACCUGUUCCUCAGUAUCAUUUCUUUCCUGCAGGUUAUUCUUAACAUAGGAUUCAUCAAAGAUCACAUGCAUGCUUUCUUUAACAUAGUUAGUUCUGUUGUUUAAAACCCUAUAGGCUUUACUAUGAAGUGAAUAACCUAAGAAGAUUCCCUCAUAACUUUUAGCAUCAAAUUUCCCAAAUUAUCCUUUCCAUUAUUAUGUAUGAAACAUUUUCUUCCAAAGGUUCUAAAGUGAGAGGUGUUAGGCUUUCUUCCUUUAAGUAAUUCAUAGGGAGUCUUCUCUAACAUAGGUCUGAUCAUGCAUCUAUUUAUGAUAUAUGCUGCAAUACUUAUUGCCUCAGCCCAAAGGUUUUUAGCAAUAUUUGCUACGAGCAUCAUUGUUCUAGCCAUAUCCUCUAAGAUUCUAUUUUUCCUUUCCACCACUCUAUUUCAUUGUGGUGUUCUAGGAGCUAAGAAGUUAUGAUCUAUACCAUUUGCUGAACAAAAUUCCAAGAAUUUUACAUUCUCAAAUUAUGUACCAUGGCCAGAACUUAUGGAGACUAAGGAAGUACCUAGUUUUUUUUCAAUUUUCUUAAUGAAAAUUUUUAAGACAUCAAAGGCAUCUUCUUUAGAGGCUAGAAACAAUGUUCAGGUGAACCUAGAAUAAUCAUCAACAAUUACAAAAAUAUACCUCUUUUCACCUCUGCUUUAAAUUCUCAUUGGUCCACACAAGUCCACAUUAACCAGUUCAAGGCACUUAGAUGUGCUUACAUGUGGAAUCCCAAACCUGCCUUUUCAUUGUAAUUUCUUUCACUCAAUUUGUGAACAAUUCUUGAGGAGUUUGUCCACCUAUUUUCGCUUUCAAGAUCCAGUUUUAGUUUAGAAACUUCUUGACUAAACUUAUUCAUUUUUUUAGUUAAAUCAUGGCAUUCUUGUUUUUAUUUAACUAGCUCAAGUUCAGCAUUUUCUUGUUCUUUACUCAUGGUUUUUUUCCCAUUUUUAGUGAGAAUUAAUUUGAGAUCUUCAGACUUAAGAUCAUUGUUUGAAAUCUCAAGUUCUGCAACCUGUUUCUUGAGAGUGCAAGUUUCCUUAUCAACUAUACUUGAGCAAGCCUUUAGAUCAGUGAGAUCAAAUUUUAGGUUUACAAGACUGUUGAACAAUUCAUCACUAUCAGAGGUUAACUCUUGGAAAUCAUCAAUCAAUGCACUUAUCAAGGAAACAAGUUUUGGUUUUGAAAACAAUUGCAAGUUUUCUUUGAGUUCAAGUAUACUUACCUCAGAACCCUCAUCUUCCUCAUUUAAGUCUGAAUCUCCAAGAGCCAUGAAUGCAGUUUCAUCAACUUCAUCUUCAUCUGAAUCGAAUCCCCAGGAUUCUAUCAUUGCAUGCUCCUCCUUUUUUUUUUGCCUUCAGUUCCUUUUCAUCCCUUUCCUUCUUCCAUUCUAUUUCCCAGCUAGAUAGUCUCUGAUUUGAUGAUCAGUUUUGCCACAUUUUUAGAGCCCAUUUGGAUUGUCAUUGGAACAUUUCUUAGUACCUAUUCUCUUUUUCUUCUUAAAGAAUUUGCUGAAGUUCUUAUUUAUGAAGGCAACUUGCUCCUUGUCAAGUUGAAAUUCCUCAUCAUUAUCAGAAGCUUUAAAUGCCAAUAUUUUCUCAGGAUCUGCUUGUUCUUUGGUUCAAUCUAUUUCCAUUACAUAAGUCCUUAAGUUCCUUACUAGUUCAUCCAGGGUCAUGCCUUCAAGAUCCUUAUUUUUCUCCCUGAUUGCAGUCACCUUAACAUCCAUUUUGAUUUCGGUAAUACCCUCAGUACCUAUUCAACUUAUUCCUCCUCAAAGAUGACAUUUCCUAAGAAAGUCAACUCAUUUAUUAAAGUGGUAAGUCUUUUCAUCAUCUCAUGCAGGGUUUCAUUUUCCUUUAUUUUGAAUGUCACAUACUCAGUGAAAAGGAGAGAGAUCCUAAAUUUUCUUACUUGAGAGGUACCUUCAUGAGCAUUGACCAGGGCAUCCCAAAUUUGCUUAGCAGUAGUGCAGGUUGAUACCCUAUUGUAUUUAGCAGGUCCUAAUCCACAAACCAAGAUGUUCUUGGACUUUGCAUUCUUAUUCAAAGCCAACAAGUCAUCAGGAGUAAAUUCACUCCUUACUUUCUUAACUUGUUCACCAUCAACCAACUUUAUUGGAAUAGUGGGCCCAUUUGUAAUCCUGUCCCAUAAUCAUAGUAUUCACCUUGGAUGAACAUGUCAAUCCUUGCCUUCCACCAGAUAAAGUGAGAGCCAUCAAGAAGUGGAGGUCUAGUAGUUGACUGACCUACACUGUGACCAGUAGGAGGUGUGGAAUUCAUCAUGUUGAUAUUAUCUUAGGUGCUAGCCUUAUUUAAGACAACCUCACUCUGAUACCACUUGUUAAAGUAUGAGCCCUACUAAUUGUCUAUCUAUUGAACAAGUAAGUAAACGUGGUUCACAGAAGUAACAGCUGAACACAGUGUUUUUACGUGGAAAACACGCAGCUCAAGAAAGGUGUAAAAAAACAUGAUUUGUACCUCUACAGGAUUUAACCCCAACUUCACUAUAACACUUGAGCCUCAACAAUCAACAAACUUACAAGACUUCUUUUUUGAAUAGGAUUCUUCUUUUAUCUCUGCAAGACCUCUUAUUCAAUUCAAAUUCUGUAAGACUUCUUGUUCAACUCAACUCCUGCAAGACUUCUUGUUCAACUCAACUUCUGAUGUGAUAAAUGUUAUCCACUUCUGUUUGAAUGAAGAGUCAUCUUAUCAAUAACUUGUCUGCAGCUGAGCUUUGUUCACUUGGACAAACCAGCUUUCAGAACAUGUUUCAUUCACAUGUCUAUCAUCAAAACUCCUACUUUCUUAACAAAUUCUCUUUUGUAUGACCUUUAUACCCACAAUGUUCACAAAUGAUGCCAGAUCUCUUCCCUUGGAAGCUUUGUCCUUGUAAAUUUAUUCCCUGGAAAGUAUGAUCUUGUGGUUGAAAACUGUGUAGCUGACUAGAGUUGUUCUGGUUUCUGCCAGCCAACAUUGUUAGAGGUUAAUUUUUUUCCUCAACCAGACCUAGUUUUUGUUGGCUUUCUUCCUGAAUUGCCAUUGAAUAAGCUUGGUUUACACUAGGAACUGUUGGACUAAGCAAAAUGGAACUCCUUACUUGAGCAUAACUCUCAUUCAACCCUACUAAGAACUGCAACAAUAUCUGUUGUUUCACAUGUUCAAUAUAUGAGCUUAACUCUACACAUUCACAACUAGGAGAAGGCACCAUAACAUCUAUCUCAUCCCACAAAUCUCUCAUUUUGGAGCAAUAUGCUAUGACAGAACCAGUUCCUUGAGUCAUCACACUGAUCUCUUUCCAUAGGUGAAAAUUUCUGGUUAGACUGGACUUAUCAAACCUUUAUUUGGAAUCACUCCAGACCAUCUUUGAUCUUGAUGCAUACACGAUGCUUGUUAUUGAUUCUGGUGUUAGAGCUACACUAAUCCAAGACAACAGAACUGCAUCACAUCUCUCCUAUCUAAUCACUAAGUUCCCUUUAUACAAACUCGUUGCACCUGUACCAUCAACAAAUCCAAGUUUGUUUUUGACUAGCAGUGCCAAUCGCAUCGAUCUGCUCCAUAUUCCAUAAUUCUCUGGACCUGUGAGCUUUAUCAGAAUCAAGGCAACACUAGAAGUAUCAGAAGCCUGUAGAUGCAGAGGAUGAUUGUGAUCCAUCUGCAGAUCAAAUGCAAUUUCUUCUCUUUGAUCACUCGCCAUUGUUGAAGCUCAAAAAGUAUCAAUGAAAAUCCCAAUUGACUACUAGCACUUCGUCACUCGAUCGCCUGCUCUGAUACCAUGAUAACUUCUACACAAUCACUAAAUUGAAAAGAAGCUGAAGCUAAAACUCCAUUAAGAAACUCAUGAGUUUACAUGUUCCUAUACUGUGUCUUCUCUCUUAACUUGAAAACUGAACUAGUGCACCUCUUAUCUCUUCUAUAGCACCAACUUAACCCAUCUCAACUGCUACACGUGAUUAACACAUGACCACUCUAACAAACUCUAGCAAACUCUAACAACCUACUAGUUGCAAGCUAAUUGUACAGCUCAACAGUAGCAGCUCAAUACUUACCCUGCAUUUUUGUCGGUGAUUCUUUAGCCAUGACUCAUUUUGGCUAAGCUACGUGACAAGUUAAUGUAGUGAUAUAAUUAUUUAGGAAUUAAUUAGUAUAUAUGAUUGGAAAAAGGUUCAGAUUUACAUCAUAGUUUAAGAGUUUAGUUUAGCUAUGCCCCUUGCUCGCUCUGCCCCUCAAUCUCUUAAAAAACAAUUCCUUCUUUUUAGGUAAUUGUGGUGUUCAAGCCAGCUUGUGCACACCUCGACUAGUUCCCAUGGAUCUCAUACCUCGAGGAUAAUGGCUCACCAACAGUUAAUGUUGGUCUGUAAUAGCUCCAAUGUUCAUUCCCUGUACACAUUCAGAUAAACUUCAAAUCAAAAGUCUGAAGUCUUCAAUCCUUAGCUAACACCAGUCUGAAUCAGAAUCACUUCCACUUACUUCACAUUUAGCUAUUGCAAAAAGAAGAUAAAAGGUUAACUAUAAGUUUGAUAUAAGCAUGGCUGAAUCGAUUUUGGUUCAAGUAUGAACUUCGUCAUUGUUCAAGUUUCAAACGCAAUUGGUGUACUCACCUGGAUCAUUGUAAGCACGAACACCCACAGCUUUGCCUCGUAAGGAUUCUUGCUCUUCUUGAACUCGUCCAGCCCACAAGAGGAACGGUUUCUGUUUUAUCAUUUCCGAUCAACAAAAAGUUUUGGCGUUGUGCUUCUCUCCAGCAUAACUCGUGGACCAGAUCAUGAACCCUUCAUGUCUUGAUUUUUCUUCCAUCCGCACUUUUUUGGCUAGCUAAGACUAGACAUCUAUUGACAAGAUCCUGCAAAUGGUUUUCAGCCUCUUCUUCCAGGUCACCAUCCAGCUUCAAGAACCCAUCAGCGAUCCAUAAUCUCACCAAUAUCUACACUGAAAUUUCGCUGUCUUCAUGAAAUAUUCUGAGAUACAGAAGACAUGCUUGUAAGUCAUUAGGCAAGUAGUGGUAACUCGAUGCGACAGCGCGUAGACAUUGCUCAGCAGGAUCUUUUGUUACACGCGACUUCAUAUUCUCAGCAACAUUCUUCCAUUUUUCUUCUGUGCUUUUAGAUUUGGACAGAAGCCGAGCAACCACGACAAUUGUUAGUGGUAACCCUUGACAUUUGUUUGCAAUUUGCUCCCCGAUAGGAACUAAUUCACGCGAGAAUCUUUCAUUUACAAACGCCUUGCUCUUAAAGAAGAUUACUUGAGCUCGUAUAAAGAGCUACCUGUCGACUCCCAUUAUCAUCAAUUGGAAAACAUUCUCUCGUGUCAUCCCACGAUUUAUAGCUCCAUAUGUCAUCCAUGAAAAUAAGAUACCCAUUACACUUCAAAUGUCUCUGUAGAAGGUCCGCUAGCUCUGCCUCAUCUCUGCUGUAGACUUUGUCAUCGAUUUUGAUUAUAGAUUGAAGAAGACUUAGCAGGGUUUCUUUCACAAUGUAUUCUUUAGUUAUAGUAGCCCAAGCGUGAACGUCAAAAUGGGACUGAAUCAAAGGAUGGUUGAAAACUUGUUUUGCUAAAGUUGUCUUGCCAAUGCCUCCCAUCCUGACAAUUGGGAUGACUUUUAUUUCAUCGGAGGAACCUCCUCUCAUUUCUUGAAGAAUCCUUUUCUUUUCCUUGUCACGUCCCACCAUAUUGUUCGAAACUUCCAGAUUAGGUAAUUUUUCUGAACUCCUAUCUCGUGCCAAGGACCACGUCGAUGCUUGUCUACCUUUAUGAUCUUGAAUCUUUUUUGACUCUUCUUGGACAAGAUCAAUGUCCUUCACUACUUGUUGCAAGCUCUCACAAAGUUCCUCAUGUGCUUUUCUUCUCUGUGUUUCAUCUUCUGCUAUCAUAGCUUCUCAUAGUCCAAAUUCAAUUUUGUCUUCAGCAGCAUUCGCAAAACCUUUUAUCCACUCCUCCAAAUCUGCCAUUGCCCCAUAACUACUGAUUUGUUUCUCCGAGUUCUUGAGAAAUGUUUCUAUAGAGCUCACUUUAUUAAGAAUAGCUACAAUUUCUUCUCCGUGUUAACAAGCAACGGAUAGCAUUGGCGAAUCAGAAGUCAACAGCAGUUCCAUUGUUCUCAUAAGAGAUGCUAUACUCGCAUAGGCCAUAUCUAUUCUCCGGUUUCCAAAAUGCAAUUACAACUUGAAAUCUGCAAGUUGUAGGAGCUCGAUAAUGUUAAAAUAACACGGCUCACAGCGUUGCAGAAACAGUGAGGUAAAAAUUAAGAAAUCAGGCAACUUCAUUCUGCACUCUUCACUAUCGUAUCUGUUACAUACUUUAUGUCUGCUUCAUAUUCAUGUCAGUAUCAUAUACUUUAUUACACUUGAUUUGACACUUCAGAAAUAUGCAGAAUCCACUUUACCGGUCAAAGAAAACGUUGCACAGAUGGUGGAAGAGGAGCUGUAUGAUGUUCAUAGGUUUUGUAUUAGCUAGUUGCGAGCGACAAUACGACAAAGACUUGUUUGAAUUGUGGCUAGACAAGAGGCACAGAUGUAGACCAAGUCGCGGAGAACUCCUGGCGUUCUAUGAGUCGAUAGAUCGCAUACGCUGGACAGCCCUAGUGUCCAGUCUAGCUUGCACACACCUUGACUAGUUCCACUAACUACCUGCAACCUCCCACCAACACAGGUACUAGAUAACUCUGUCCCCAAAGGCUUUGGCAUAUAGGAAGAAGUCGCCUAGCGUUCUUUGCCUCUCACUGGGAUUUAAAACAAGACCUCAUGGUUCUCGACUCACUUCAUUGACCACUGAGCCACACCCUCGAGUGUGUGCCAAUGCUAAGUCAAUGGACUUAGCUUGAUGUGAUUGACCAAGAUGUGACAUUUGGAUCUGUUGACAUUAAUAGGUACUCCAUAUUUUUAAAGGAUACGAGCAACAUAGGUUAUAAAAGAAGUGAAUUUACGGAUUCAUGGGAAACCACUAGCGUUUGCCCAAAUCCUAAAGAAAAUCAACCAAGUAUCUAUAAAUAUUUGACUAGGAUCCCAACUAUGUUGCUUGGACUAAAAGGACAGCCUGGUGUACUAAAACUCCCGCUAUGCGCAAGGUCUGAGCAAGGGCUCCACCAUAAGGGUACAUUGUACGAAGCCUUACCUUGCAUUUUUGCCGAGGCUAUUUCCAAGGCUUGAACCCGUGACCUCCUAGUCACAUGGCAGCAACUUUACCAGUUGCUCGGAAUCUUUCAAAAAGACCAACUUACUACAACAAAUACUUUCAAGCAGAAAAAUAUACUAAAGGCACAUGAAUAUGAGUUUCAAACAACAAAUUAAUGAAGUAAAAAGGAAAAUUGCAUUACCUCUAAUGGAGAUUGAAAAGUGAAAUUGUGUCUGCUAUCAAGUUAUAACAAAUAUGUUUUAUAUAUGAAAAAAAAUAGAAAGGAAAAAAAGAGUUGACUUUAUAGAAAUGGGAUGACAAUUCCAAUAAGUUGACCUUGGGAUUUGUGUCUAUCAAAGAAAAUAUAAUAUUAUAGUACAUCGAUAUAAGCAUCCAAUAUCCCCUUGAACUAUGCCCAAAGUUGCUACGACACAUUCCAACUUCACAGAGGUCCUAUUAUCCUCGAACUCAAUUUUAGCGUAUUUUUGUUACUCUUUUGUGUUGAUGUAAUACCAUUAUUAUAUAAAAUAGGGCUCAUGGAAAAAGUGCCACGUCAGUUAAAAAGGUUGACAAAAAGUGUCACGUCAGCUAAAAAGAUUGACAAAAAUACGCUAAAAUUUAGUUCAUGGGGUAGUAGGACCUCCGUGAAGAUGCAGUGUGUCAUUGCUUAGUUUAGGAGGGUACAAGACGCUUUUCUCUAGCACAUCUGUUUUUAACUUUACCAAGUAAAGUGAGUGUGCAGUCAUUUUAACCAUUGUGAUAUCUAAUUGAGUGUCAUAUAUUAUUUUAGAGAUAAUCGUCCUGUACUCCCUCGAACUAUGAUCAAAGUUGCUACGACACACUCUAACUUUACAGGAGUACUAUUAGCCCUUGAACUCAAUUUUAGCGUAUUUUUAUCACCCUUUUGUGCUGACAUGACACCUUUAUUACAUAAAAAUGGGAUCCACAUCAAAGGUGCCACGUCAGCUAAAAAGGUGUCAUGUCAGCUAAAAAGGGUGACAAAAAUACAUUAAAACUGAAUUCAGGGGGAUCCCCGUGAAGUUGGAGUAUGUCGUAGCAACUUUGGCCAUAAUUCGAGGGAGCACUAGAUGUUUUACUCAUUAUUAUAGCACAUCUGCUUUUAACCCCACCGUUUUGUAUUACUUUUCAUGUAUAUAUAGUAAAUGUCGAACCUCCUUCGAUUAGUUUGUAUGUUUAUAACAUACUCAUAUUUUGAACCCCCUUAGGAAUAAUCCUGGCUCCGCCACUGCAUUUCUAAUAUUCUAAUAAAUAACUUUACCAACUAAAGUGAGUGUGCAAUCAUGUUAACCAUUGUGAUCUAUAAUUGAGGGUCAUAUAUUAUGUGUAAUAAUUAAGCUUUUCUACUAUCCCAUGGAUAUGUAUGUACAUGCAAAUUAGUAAUGCCCAAAUGAGUAAUGUUACUAACAAUUCUAUUAACUCAAAAAUAUGUUACAAUACAAAUCCAGAGACAAUAUUAAAAUUUAGAGAAAUCACAUCUCCUUGGAAGCCACAAUAACUGGUAAAGCUGUUGCUAUGUGACUCGGAGUUCAGUAGUUCAAGACGUGGAAAUAGCCUCUUGCAGAAAUGCAGGGUAAGACUACGUCUAAUAGGUCCUUAUGGUCUGGCCCUUCUAUGUCUUAUAGAUGAACCGAAAUGAAAUCGAGGGACUUCAAUCGUUUUGCUCUUGAUCUUCAUUACUAAUGUCCUUCGAAACCAAAAUUAAUCCUCCCUUGAAAGAAACAUAAAGGGUCAGUAGAAGUUCAACGAGUCACAUUAUUCAGAUGCAGAUAUAGGGCGUGUUCAACCGAACUCACAUCUUUCAACUCUAACUUCAUGUGAACAGACACAGACGUAGGAGUUUAUGCAAUCUGAUAAAUAAUAUUGAACUCGUCACCUGGUUAACGCGUCCUGCCACAUCUUUGCCCUAACCAAGUGAGACACGAUAUUUAAUGCUAACUCAAAAUCAACACCACCACCAUCAUCAUCGUCGUCGUCGUCGUCAUCAUAGUCUUCAUCAUCCUCAUCCUCAUCAUCUACAUCUUCUCCUGUAUGAAGUCACAGAAGUGAAGUAUAUUGGAAUAUUUUCCUUUUAUACUUACUAAGUACAACGUAAGCAGAUAAGGAAGUUCAUGUAAUGUUAUACUAAUCUGAAUACGGUUUUAAGAUAAGAACAUGCACUGGUUCUGCUCCAAGAUCUUCCUGGUCUUGUUGAAUAUGUGCAGUACAAGUCUCGAGCGCGGGCUUACAGCCUUCUAACUCAAUCAGGUGUAGUGUGUCGAUUUCUACAAAUUCAAUGGGUAUCUCUUCCAAAUUAUAGCAAUUGCUAAGCAUGAGGCGCUCAAGGACAGAAAAAUUGUCAUUUGGGGCUUUCCAGUACUUGAGAGAAUUAGUUUCAAUUAGCAAAACCUUCAAUCGAGUAAAUCCCCCAACAAUUGGAUGUCUUUCUUUGCCACAACAAGCAGAUGAACGAGAAUGUUGAGAGGUCCAGAUUCCCGAAAAUUUUCAUUGUCAUCGUUAUUUCCACCGAUUCCUAAUUUUUUAACAUUCUGAAUCCUAGAAAUAACCUCUUUCAUGCAUCAACAUGGAGACAAGUGAGAAAUAGUUCGUCAACAGAUACGCUUGGGCGAUUUGGCAUAUCAAAUUUUUCCAGUUUGAGAUGCCUUUAUUGCAUUAGUCCCCAAAUUUUCUCAGGAAAGAGAACUAUACUCUUGCCACAAAAAAUAAAAUUUGUGUCCUUUGAAUUUCGGUCAUAGGUUGCGGAAACUUAUGCCUUCUCGUCAAAUUCUUGUAUCAAAUAAAUAGAUCAUAGGAAUGAAUUAAACAACACGACCUACUCUAUUACUUCUCUCGAAUAUCAUUGAGUUGAUCCCACAGAAUAUAUUGUCAAACAUACACAAUAUAAAUUGCUCCAUGAAGGAGAAAAAGUAUACAACAACAAGAAUUAACAAGCUAGAAGACAUUACAACAUAAAUGUAAUGAAUCAAACUCCCUAUAUUGGAUAGAAACCGAUUGGAUACUCUUGUUGCUCGUCCUCUCCGUGUCUUCUGUUUUCCAAAAGCUGCUCGAAGAAUCCACUAUACUUAGACGAGAUCAAAACUUCUUAAAGAUGUGUCUUGCUAUGACAAAGCAAUAUAAAUUAAAAAUAUAAAAUCUCCCAUUUACAAUCAAAUCAUGUCAAUUAAAGUAUAGAAAUAUCAAGUGGAAUUGUUUAAGUGUACAUUUUUACAUUAGUUAUAUAUAUGUUAGAGUAAUUGUUACCAAGAAAUCAAUGUUAUGAAGCGAAACAAGAUACAUCAAAUUAUGCAAUAAACUAGAAAAUAAAAAUGCAAAAAGAACACCUUGAAGUGUGAGUUCAUAUUAAAUUUUCUUUUUCACAAUUUUGUAAAAUUUACUCCACUAUAUCAAAAAUAAAUGUCAAUAAUACUUGUCCAUUUUGAAACCAAUGGAUAACUUACCCAUUUUACCCUUAGCAUUAAAUACGAUUCAUUAUCCAAUGUAUCUUCCAAAGCAUUAGAUUUAUUAGAUUUAAAGGGUAAUAUGGUAAAACUAGCCCUAUCAUUUACUAUUUCUUAAUUUAUGUGUCAAUUUAAUAGUGGAUAACUAUUAAUAGACGGAAAAGUAACAAUUAGACCAAAUGUGCUCACAUUUAGCAAGCUUAAACUAAAGUACCAAAAUUGCUCAAAAAUAUAUUUAAGGGGACAUUUUGAACUGCCCUCAAAUAUAAGGGAUAUUCUUGUUAAUUUCUUCUAUAUUUUAACCAAAUUUUGUCGAAGGUUAUUUUUGUGAAAGAAUAUGGGGCAAAGUUAAAUAACUUUUGUGUACGACUUGACUUGUGGAAAUGAGAAACACAGUGUGACCCCUGAUAAAUACUAUAUACUUACAUAAAUCAGAGAUACUAACAUCCACGGGGUUGUUUCCAAGCUCUUCUUGUUCUUGUUGAAUUCUUGCAGCAGAUUCCCCAAGUUCGGGAAGACACCUUGAUAACUCAAUCAGUUGUAGUGUGUGGAUUUCUACAAACUCAAUGGGUAUGUCUUUUAAACUAUUUGAGAAAACAAUCUUCAAUUAACAAAAUCUUCAAUCGAGUAAAUCCCCUGACAUUUGGAUGCCAUUCUUCGCCACAACAAGGAGCAUUCAUCAGCUUCAGCACCUCAAGGUUAGGCAACUCAGCUAUGAUGUCCAAGUAUGACCAACUUAUAUAAGUGUCUCCCAACUUCAGAUUCUUGAGCAUUGCUGGAAAAGCUUUUGCACUUGCUGGAAAACGAAAUAUAAAACUCAAUGUUUCAAGUUGCUGCAGAUCGACAAGAUUGUUGAGAAGCCCAGAGUCCCGAAUACUCAUAGAGUCAGUCUCAUAUCCACGGAUUCCUAAUUCUUUGACAUUCUGAAUCCCCAAAAUAACCUCGUUCGUGCAACAAUCCAAAGACAAGUAAGAAAUAGUUUGUAUGUUUGAAAAACCCAUGUGACUCCCUUUGUCAGCAGAUACGCUUGGGGGAUUUGGCAGAUAAAAUUCGGGAAGUUUGAGAGUCCUUAAUUGCAUUAGUCCCCAAAUUUCCUCAGGAAAAGUUAUUUUAACUGAUUGCAUAGGCCCUCGAACAAUGAAUGUCUGCAGAUUCCAUAACCUACAAAUUUCUGGAGGUAUGUAUAAAUUCUCAAGGCAGAACAAUGAUAGGUACCUCAACCAGAUGAGGCUUAGUAUCUGUCUGUAGAGGGAAAUUAUCAAUCUCUUCGUGUCUCAACUCCAAAACUUUCUAGUGAAUCUAUUAUACCUAUUAAAUCCACACACCCCCUACAAAUGGUAUCAGAGCACAGCAAACUAAAAAGUACGAAAGAGAUAUAUAUUAGAGUUAGAGUUAGAAUAUACAUGUUAGAAUUAAAAUUAGAUUUAGAGUUAAAAAAUUUACCUACAAAAAUAUUAAAUUAAUUAUGCGAAGACCAUUUAAAAAUAGAGAAGCUUUUAGAAAAAUUAAAGAAUCCUUAAUUAGUAAUUAUCUAGAAUAUAUAAGUCUAAAUAAAACAAAAGAAAAUCCACAAAAACUAGCCUACUUAAUUACCUUAAUAUCUAGUAUUGAAUCAAAAUUAAUAACACAUUUAAAAUCUAGAAGAAUGAAACAUAUACCACUUAAUUAUGAUAAAAUUAGAUUUAGGUAUCCACCGAGAUAUUAUAAAUAUAAUUUAAAAUGAAUAAAAUACAACGAUAUAAAGAAUUAAAACAAAUUAUCUCUGAAAAACGUAAAGAAUUAAAAAUAAGAAUAGAAAGACUACAUUAUAAUAUAUUUGCCGGAGUUAGUAAAAAUUCAAUAGAUACACAAAAAGAUGAAAUAUCAAAAUUAGAAUCACAAAUAGAUAGUUUAGAAUAUGUAUAUCAACAUGACCUAUUCACAAUAAAAUGAAUAAAGAAGAAUUUAUAAUAGAUGAAAAAAUAUAUGAAAACUACGAAGGAUCAAAAAUAAAAAUAGUAUUUUCUAAUCUAGGACGAAGAUAUAAGAAAAUAGGUGAACAUUUAUAUCUAAUGUUAGAAAAAGAAGAAUUAAAAUUAGAAGAUAAAUUAACAGCAAUGGUAAGAAUAGAAAAAGAAAAUGAAGAGAUAGAUAGGAAAAAAGAAAUAGAAAAAAUAAAACAACAAACUACGGAAGAAAUACGAAAAAUAGAAGAAACCAAAAAUAGUAGAAUUGCUGAAUUAGAAAAAGAAUUACAAAUGUUAAAAGAACUGUAUGAACAAAGACAAAAAGAAAAAGAAGAAAAAGAUAGAGAACAGAAAUUACUAAAUGAGAUAAAUCAAUUUAAGGAAAAAUUAGAAAUAAAAAAUGAAGAAUUAGAAAUAAAUAAUAUAGAUAUUGAAGAGACAGAUAAUUAUGAGUCCGAAGAUAGUGAAACAUACACAGAAAUAUUAACAAAUACAAAAAAUUUAGAAAUCAAUGAAGAACAAAAAAUUAAUGAGGAAAACUUAGAAAAUACCCACACAGAAAUAAAUACUCUUGAUAAAAAAGAAAAUGAAAAUAUAAUACCUAAAACAACAGAAAUAAGAAAACCUAUAUACCAUAAGAAUAAGUUUAAAAAAUAUAAUGAAUAUGAUAAAUGGAAACCAAAACAAAUAGUGAAUAAAAAUUAUAACUUUUUAGAUCUAGACUGUGUAAUAGAUACAGAAAAAACAAUACAAUUAUGGAUAGGAUAUAUGACAAAACAAUUAUUAGAUAAUAAUAUAAAUAUAACAGAUGCACCGGAAUAUAUAGAAAAAACACUAAUAGGAUCAGUAAAACUAUGGUUUGCAAAUCUAACCGAAAAUAGCAAAAAAGUAUUAAGAACUAAUAAACCUAUAGAAGGAACAUCAUCGACAACAACUAAACUAACACCUAUAGAAUUAUUAAAAAAAUAUGAAACAGCUAUAAAAGAUGAAUUUGGUAGUACGACAACAAUCGAAGAAGAACAAAAUGAAGAAAAAGAUACAAAUAGAAAUUUAAUGUUAAAAUUAGCAAUAUGUAAUAUGUGUUAUAUAGAUGAAUAUACUUGCGCAUUUAAAGAAUAUUAUUACAAAGGAGCAUAUAGUAUAGAAGAAAGUAAAGAAAUAAGAAAAUUAUAUUUUAAUAAAUUACCCGAGCCAUUUAGUUCGAAAAUAAUAAAAAGUUGGGAAGAAGCAAAAAUAGUAGAUACGUUAGGAGCAAGAAUAAAAUAUUUACAACAAUGGUAUAGAAACUUAUGUGAAAAAUAUAGAGAAGAAUUAAAAAUGGAAAAAACAUUAAUAAGAAAUUUAGCUUGUUGCAAAAAUAAAAUAGCACCCCAAUUUGGAUGCGAAGAAAGAUAUUAUAAGAAAAGAAAAAGACAUAAGAAAUAUAAGAAAUAUAAAAAAUCAAAAUAUAAAUAUAAAAAACCAAGAAAAAGAUACUAUGUAAAAAAUUAUAAACAUAAAAGACCAUAUAGAAAAAAGAAAUCUAUAAAAGAAUGUACUUGUUAUAAUUGUGGAAAGUUAGGACAUUUAGCUAGAGAUUGUAAAUUACCUAAAAAUCCAAAAAAUAAACAAAUAUCAGAAAUAAAAAUAGAAAAUACCGAAUACAUGCAGAUAGAUUAUAUAGAUUAUGAAUUAGAAAGUGAAGAUAGUAUAUAUGAAAUUUCAGAAAACGAAACAGAUAAUGAAAUAGAUAGCGAAAUAGAUGAAUCAAAUGACUGAAGAAGAUAUAAAAAUAAUAACAAAGGAAGAAUAUUUAAAUGAUGAAGGAACGGAACAAAAAAUAAUAUUUGACAGUAAUAUAUUUGAUGAAAUAAAAGGAAAAGAAUUAGAUUUAAGUGUAGACAAAAUAUUUAAAAUACCAACAAUAAAAAAUAUUUUUACUAGGAAAAAAGAUGAAUAUUAUGUAGUAUGCCAAAAAGAACAUGUAAUAGAUUGCAGAUAUGCAAAAGGAAAAGCUAGUAUACCACUAGUAACAAAAAGAAUAAUUAAUAAAGAAAUAAAUGAUAUAAAAAGUAAAGGAGAUCCAAUAAAAUAUGUACACCUUGGAGGUACAGAGAUAUUAAUAAAAGCAUGUUUUAGAGAAGGAAUAGAUACACCAAUAGAAUUAUAUUUAGCAGACGAUAGAAUUAUAAAACCUAUAGAAAAAAGCAUAAUAACUGCCGUAAAAGGAAAUCUAAUAUACCAAAAAUUUAAAUUUAUAAUAAGUGCAAAUUAUUCAGUAGCAGUAACAGAUAGGAAUAUAGAUAAAUCAUUAGUAUUAUAUUGGAAAAUAUCAGGAAUAGAGUUAACCCCAGGAAGUAAAAUAUUUACAGCAAGAUGUAAAAACCUAUAUGUAUUAACAACAAAACAUAAAAUAACAGGAAAAAAUAAGAUUAACAAAAUACAAAUAGAAAGCCCAUUCGAACAAAUAGUAAAAACAAUAGAUUAUAAUGAUUAUACCUAUAGAGACAUAGAUACAGAAGAAAAUUUAGAAAUAGUAAAUGAUAGAAUAAGUACAACGAAAAGAAUAGCUAAUGAAAAGCCAGAAUCAUCAAGCUCAUCAAAAAGAACAAGUUAUGAAACAAACUCAAUAAGUAAUUUAAACCAAUAUUACAUAACGGGAAAAAUAAAUGAAAAAGAAUAUUUAAUACUUUUGAACACAGGACAAGAAGAAAAUUAUAUAGCAAAAUAUCUAGUAAAAAAUGAAGAAAUAAAAACCGACAAUAAUAUAUGCCCAGACUUACCAAGAAGUUUAAUAAAUAAUAAAAAUCUAGCAGAAAAAGAAAUAAUAUUAGGAGUUAGAAAAAUAAAAAUAGAAUUCGAAGUAAAAGAAGAAAUGCAAAAAGCAGAUAUAAUAUUAGGAAUAAAAUGGUUAGAACAAGUAAAACCAUAUAAUAUAGAACAUACACAAUUAACCUUAACAUAUAACCAAGAAAAGUUAUUCUUAAAAAGAGCCUUAACAUGAAAUGAAGAUACAUGUAUUAAUGAAGAUAGUAGUAGAAGGAUAUUACAGUAGAUAUUAUACGCCUAUGAUAGAUACAGGAGCAGAAGCUAAUUUAUGUAGAUAUAAUUGCUUACCAGAAAGCAAAUGGGAUAAACUAAAAACACCAAUAAUAGUUAAAGGAUUUAAUAAUGAAGGAAGCUUAAUUACUUAUAAAGCUAGGAAUGUAAAAAUACAAGUAUGGGAUAAGAUAUUAACAAUAGAAGAAAUUUAUAACUAUGAAUUAACAUCAAAAGAUAUACUUUUAGGAAUGCCAUUUUUAGAUAAAUUAUACCCACAUAUAAUAACUAAAACAGACUGGUGGUUUACAACACCAUGCAAACAAAAAGUAAGAGCAAAAAGAGUUAAUAAUAAAAUAAGAAAGAAAACUGAUUGGAUAAAAGGAAGUGAAAAAAUUACACAAAAGUUAGAAAAUAUAAACAAUACUGAAGAUACAGUAGAACUAGUAGUAUUUUCGAUAAAUAAAACAGAAAUAACUAUAUUUUCAAUAAAUAAAAUAGAAAUAAUUCAGAAAAAAUUAGAACAAUUAUAUAGUGAAGAUCCAUUAAAAGGAUGGGAAAAACACAAAACUACUAUAAAAAUUGAAUUAAUAGAUAAGAAUAGCAUAAUAACACAAAAACCAUUAACAUAUAAUUUUGAUGAUUUAAAAGAAUUUAAAAUGCACAUAGAUGAAUUAUUAGAAAAACAAUAUAUACAAAAAAGUAAUAGUAAACAUAAUAGUCCAGCAUUUAUAGUAAAUAAACAUAGUGAACAAAAAAGAGGAAAAAGUAGGAUGGUUAUUGACUAUAGAAAUUUAAAUGCAAAAACUAUAACAUAUAAUUAUCCGAUACCAAAUAAGAUAUUAAAAAUAAGACAAAUCCAAGGAUAUAAUUAUUUUAGCAAAUUUGAUUGUAAAUCAGGAUUUUACCACCUAAAGCUAGAAGAAGAAUCUAAAGAAUUAACCGCAUUUACGGUACCACAAGGAUUUUAUGAAUGGAACGUGUUACCAUUUGGAUAUAAAAAUGCACCAGGUAGAUAUCAACAUUUUAUGGAUAAUUAUUUUAAACAAUUAUCUAAUUGUAUAGUAUACAUAGAUGAUAUAUUAUUAUACACCAAAACCAAAGAAGAACAUUUAAAAUUAUUAGAACAAUUCACAGAUAUAAUAGAAAAAUCAGGAAUAAGUCUAAGCAAAAAGAAAGCUGAAAUUAUGAAAAACCAGAUAGAAUUUUUAGGAAUACAAAUAGAUAAAAGUGGAGUAAAAAUGCAACAACAUAUAGUACAAAAAAUAAUAAAUUCGAAAGAAGAAUUAGAUACAAAAAAGAAAUUACAAUCAUUUUUAGGAUUAGUAAACCAAGUAAGAGAAUAUAUUCCAAAAUUAGCAGAAACCUUAAAACCACUGCAGAAAAAAUUAAAAAAGGAUAUAGAAUAUAAUUAUGAUGAAAAAGAUAAAAAACAAGUUCAAAAAAUAAAAUUACUUUGUAGAGAAUUACCAAAAUUGCAAUUUCCAGAUGAAAAUAGAAAAUUUAUAUAUAUAGUAGAAGCAGAUGCAAGUGAAUAUAGUUACGGAGGAGUACUUAAAUAUCGAUAUGAAGCAGAAAAAAUAGAACACCAUUGUAGAUACUACUCAGGUACGUUCAACGAGACAGAAAUAAAAUGGGAAAUAAAUAGGAAAGAAUUAUGUUCAUUAUAUAAAUGUUUAUUAGCAUUUGAGCCAUAUAUUGUAUAUAACAAAUUUAUUGUACGAACAGAUAAUACACAGGUACGCUGGUGGUUAACAAAGAAAAUACAAAAUUCAGUUACAACAAAAGAGAUUCGAAGACUAGUUUUAAAUAUAUUAAAUUUCACAUUUACAAUUGAAGUGAUCAGUACUAACAAAAAUGUUAUUGCAGAUUACAUAUCAAGACAAAGCUACACAGACUGAAAUAGUAGAGGAAGAUACUCUAGAAAAAAUACUUAACACCCUAACUACGCUUUCAAUGAAAGUGGACAGUAUGGGUAAUGAGAUAGAAAAGCUAAAGACUAAUGAAGAUAAACUGAAGUCUAUAGCUACAAAUCAGCUAACUCAGCAAUGUGCAGAGCUAUGUCGAUCGAAAGACAUUAAAAAUCCAGAGCUAGAAGGAGACGUUGGGACACUCCAUAAAACCCAUAACAUUUAUCAAUCUACUUCUGCAGGUACAAGCAAAGGAGUUAAUAGACCAAGAUACCAGAAUGUAAAUAUGAACAAAAUAUUUGAAAAACCAUUUACCCCAAAAGCACAAAAAGACCAUUUAUUCAUACCCCCACAAGUUAACACAUACCGAGACAGCCUAAACCAAGACAAGAAAAUAUACAACUACACAGCCCAAAAAUACAUAGAAAAUAUAUAUAGAGUCCAAACCUUUCUAAACCAUAACCCCAGAGCUACAAAUAUCCAAGAACCAAAUACCAAUUAUAUAACCCAAAAACUACAAGGAUACAAUAAACUGAUAGCACUACCCAAAACUAACCCAAGCCUAGUUAAAACUUGUUUUGACUAUGGACUACUAAAUACCAUAUACACCCAAGACGGAGAAGAGCUAACAGCUAUGGAGGAAUUAUACAAGAUAUUCACUACCUACAAAAGAAUAACAAAAGGAAAUUUAUUUUAUAUAAAGUGUUAUACUGCACCAGCAGAGAUAUUAUAUGACGAAAUAAAACCAGUUAUACAAGUUGUAAAGAUAGGAUUAACAAGAGAUAUGAUUAUACCAGAAGAUAUUUCGCAACAACCGGAGAUACCUAGAAUCGAGAUACCAGAUUUUUAUGCAAAUAAAAGACUUAUUGGACUAGCUACGAUCAUUCAAGAACUAGCAAAUAACUAUGCUAACGGAAACCCAAUAUGGAGCUACUAUUCAAGAGAUCACCAAAUGAUAUAUUCAAAUUCAAAAGAGCUACGACAAGCAGAUAUGGAAGACGUAAGACAAUGGAUACUGACGCUACUUAACCCAGAAAAAAAAAUCUACCGCGCGAGCAAUGAAAAAGGGAUUUAUUUCAGACGGACUGCUAACAAGAUACUGUAAGAUAAUCGGACAUAAAUAUCCAGACCACCAAUGUUCAAGGUGCAAUGGAGAAGAUAAUAUUAUUCCAGAGGUACAUCUAGAAUAAAGAAGAUAAAAUGCCAGCUGGAAGGAUAAAGAUAAAAGAGCAAUAAUGGAGCCGACACAGGGCAAUAAUGGAGCAGAUACAGAGCAAUAAUAGAGCAGAUAAGGAGCAAUAAUAGAGCAGAGACGACAAAAAUCAACGGAGACAAGAUACUGUACAUUAAUUAAUUUGUUAGACUUUUUAUAUAUGUAGCCACUAUAGUUGACUAUUUUUUCUUAAGUUUUAGAAAUUGUAUGUAAGUUAGAUACCUUAGGCUUUACUUUACGUAACUUAGAAAUUUAGGAUAAAGUAGAUGGGGAUAGGCCCCACUGUUUUAAUUUUCAUUACUUUUUAGCAACAGCAGACAUGUAAAUUCAUUCUAUAAAUACAAAGGACGAGGGUAUUGCGAAGGGCAAGCCUUCUAAGCCUUCUUUUGAAACAAAUCUCUCUCUCCAUUCCACAAACAAAAAAUCUACUCAGUUAAUUAGAAAAAUAUACUCCAAUGGAAAAAGCUAUGGAACAACAGGAACAACAAAACUCAGAAACAUCAAAGCUACCGGAACAGGUAUAUCUAUUUAUAAUUAUGAAUAGCUAAUUUCAUAAUUCCCAACAAUCAUGAUAUGAUAAAAUAAAUUCAUAUUAGUUACUUUAUAGUAGAAUUAUUCGAAGAAUAAUAUGUUAAGAAGUUUAUUAACAAAGAGGAAACGGAGAAAUAUCCCUAAGGACUAUGCCAUCCUAAAGGUGAAACCAUUGAGGCAAGAAGCCGUGGCGGGGAGUAACCAGAGUAGAGGCGCUGUUUAAGGGAAAAAGUAUCCGGAUUACCAUGUUAAUAGUGACGGAAGAACAUAUUAUUUAAGAAUACUCUAGUAUAUAGUAAGCCAAUAUGACCAUAUUUUGUUGUGUACGUGAUUGAAGGGAAUAUUUUGAAAAAAGCAAAUUUAUGAAAAAUGAAUGAUAAUAUAUCUGAUGUGAUGGUAGAUAAAUUCAAGAUACUUAUUUUGUAUGCACUUAGAAAUAUAAAAGUAGCAGAUAUAAGAAAAAUCAUAUUAGAAAAAGCUUUUGGUGAAUAUUAUAUGACUAGAGUAAGUUAUAUACCAUAUCUACCUAACUACUCUUACAAAUAUUUACGAUGAUAAGUUACAUAAGAUUUUUAGAAAAAGAUAUAAAAAAUAUGCAGUUACUAGAAAAACAUAUAAAAAUAAAUAUAGAUAAAUACAUGGAAAACAAAGAUAUAAAAUUUCUUAAUAAAAAUAUGCAAAAACUGCUAAGACUAAAACAAACAGCUACAAAACAAUUUUAAAAAUAGAUCAUUUAGAUUAUCUUAAAGUUUUAAUCUUAUAUAUACUUAAAAACAUAGAAAUUAUAGAUAUUAAGAAAAUAAUAUUAGAAAAAGUAAUAGAUUACGAAACUGAAACUAUAAAUUACCUAGAACAGUUAUACGAAGAAAUUUACCCAGAAGGAUAUUAUUCAGAUUAAGAUAUGUUAGAAUAUAUUAGACAAACUAGAGAAAAUCAAGAAAAUCUAAAUAAUGAAAUUAAUUAUAGAAACCGAAUUAGACAAAUAAUGAAAGACCUAAAAGAAAAAUUAAUAUGGAUAGAAAAAACCUUAGAAAAUUUAGAUAAAAGUACAUGUGAUAGUUUAUAUAAUUUAAAAAACUCACUACGAGAAGAACAACACAAGAUAAUAAAUAACAUUGAAAAUCUAGAAUUAGAUAUACAUUAUAGUACAGAUAGGAUAAAUUAUUAUACAAGAAUUUGUAACUCUGCAAUUACUACAGGAUAAAAUAAUUAAUGAAUAUAUCUUACGAAAAAAGUAAAUUAUUAAAAGAUAAUAUCCACGCACUAAUAAAAAUAGAUUCACUAGAAACCUACUAAAUCUAUUAUACCUAUUAAAUCCGCGCACCCCCCUACAAAUUAAUUAUAUGUUAUAGUCACGCAUUUAAAAGGCUGCAUUUUUUGCAUAGUGAGAUAUCGACAUUCUGAAUAUGAGUAAACAAGCACAAUGUCGUUCAUGAUAAAAAUGUUCUCCCUUUGAAUUUCUCUCAAGCACAGGUCAUAUAUUAGAUCAUGAACCUUACAUGAUCUAAUUUUUGUUCCAUCUAAACUUUUCUUGCAGACGAGGACUAGACAUCUAUCGACAAGCUCUUGCAAACACUUCUCAGCCUCUCCUUCCAAAUCAUUUUCCAACUUCAGGAACCCCUCAGCCAUCCAUGAUCUCAUCAAUUUCUUCACUGGAAUAUCACUGUCUUCUGGAAAAAUCCCGAAAUGCAGAAGACAUGCUUUUAGAUCGCUAUUCAAGUGAUUGUAACUCAACCCAAGCACACGUGAACAUCGUUCAUCAGAUCAUUUGUGACAAAUGACUUGACAUCUUUGGCAACACUUCUCCAAUCUUCUAUUGCCCUUUUAGAUUUGAGAAGUCCAGCAACCACGACAAUAGUUAGUGGUAACCUGUGACAUUCGGCUGUGAUUUGCUUUCCAACAGUCUCGAACUCAUAUGGUAAUUCUGCACUUUUGAAAAGACUCCAACUCUCAUAUUGAUCCAAGAAGCUCAUCCGCAAAUAAAGAUUCUCUAUACCAGCAUAACAAGCUACUUCAUCGUUACGGGUAGUCAACAAUAUUCGAAUCCCUGCAUUGUCUUCAGUUGGAAAGCAUCGUCUCACGCCAUCCCACACUUCACAACUCCAGAUAUCAUCAAAGUCAAUAAAGUACUUCUUUCUCUUAAAACUUUUCUGCAGCAUGUCUGCUAGCUCUGCUUCACCUUUCGUCUUAACUGUGUCAUCCAUAGUCGAUUGCAGAAGGCUCAGCAAAAUCUCCUUUAUGUUGUGCUGCUGAGAUACCUUAGCCCAGGAACGAACAUCAAAACAGCGUAGAAUUGAUUCAUGAUUGUAAACUUCUUUCGCUAUGGUUUUUUUACCUAUGCCUCCCAUCCCGACAAUCGGGAUAACUUUGGGUUCACCAGAGUAGCUUCCUUUCAGAUCUUCUAACAAGCGUUCCUUUUGAUCAUCACGUCCAACCAUAUUAUUGUUAACAUUCACAAUAUCAUUUGUUGAACUUGAAAAAUCAUGAACCAAUGAUUCCUUUGAUACUUGUUUGCCUUUAUCUUGAAUCUUUGUUGACUCUUUCCAGACAUGAUCAAUGUCCUUUGCUAAUUGUUGAAGGCUUUUACGAAACUUUCGGCGUGUCCAUAUAUUCGAGAUUCCUUUGAAAAAUCCUGAGACAAUGAUUCCUAUGAUUCUUUUCUCUUCUCCCUGUACAGUUUCUGUUAGUCUCAGUUGAAUUGUGUAUUGAACACCACUUGCAACUUCUUUUACAUCUACUUCAAAAUCCUUCAUUUCUCCAAAAACAUUGUUUUUCUCAAAGUUCUUGACAAAUACUUCCAGGGAACUAACUUUUUCAUGAAGAGCACAAAGUUCUUCUCUGUUAUAACAUAUUAGAGAUUGCAUCGGCGAAUUGGAUGUCAAGACUGAUUCUAUUGUUCUCAUAAGAGAAGCCACACUUGCAUGAGCCAUAUCUACUGUAUUCUCAUUUCUUUCCUUUGUGCUUAUGACCUGAAAGCUGAAGGUUGCAAGAGGUCAACGGUAUUACAAAUAACGAGAUACGCAGAUUUUUUGAAAAGGCACGCAUAAGAUCAGGUAAUGUAUUUGCCUUAAUCAUAUCAAGCACAGGGGAACAAUAACUCCCAGUACGCAAAUGUGUAAAGAACAAAAGAUAGAGUGUAACAACCCGCAUUUCGGGCUAGAAUGUAAACUGUCAUUCCAACGCAUAAUAGUUCCAAAAGACAUUAAAUCCUAUGAAAAUUUAGUGUGUUAAUCAAUUAUGUAGUGUGGUAAUCUAGUUGGUGAUGAAUUCAGGUCAUAGAGUCCCUUAACUCAAAGGCGUUGAAAGUCUUCCUCUCGAUUGAGUUUUAGUGAGCAUUUAAACUUGGGUCAACUUCCAUCGACCAUAUAUUUUUUGUAUAUAUCAAAUUAGGGGUAUAACUACAUAUCAAAUGAAAGGUAUUUGAGUCCUCUUUCCAACUCCACUGGUUUCAUCUUAAUCCAAUAUCGAAGUAGAAAGUUAUGCACAUUUUACUUCGAAGUGUCUGUCUGCCAAAAUGUGACGACGAGGCUGACGACCUAUCAACUAGGUGACGACCCAUCAGCCCUAGUCGUCAGCCUAGGGAAGAAAGUGGUAAAAUCCAUCCCAAAAUUGAAGACCCGGGUGACGGCCUAUCACCUGAGUGACGGCCCGUCAACCUUGGUCGUCAACUGAUGAAAUUCUGUGACUUUUUUCGGGUUCCUAGGGGGUAUUGUGGUCUUUUCCUCACUUGGAAAACCUUUCCCAUGAAUUUAAUUACACUCUAAAUGUUAUUAAUCAAUCAUUAUCAGUUAAACAAUAUCAAAAUUCUUUAUUCACACUCAAAUACAAGAUCAAACUAGGUUUCCUCCAAGAACAAGAAAUCAAGAAAAAUCAAUCCUUAAGUCACGGAUUUUCAAGGAACAAAUCAAGAUUCGAGUUCCACUCUUUAAACUAAGUAAUCUAAGGUACGUGGGGUUUUCCUAAACUACAUGGUCUUAUUGAAAACCUUUUGAAUAAGGUUUAAAGUUGUGAAAUCAUGUAUUUACAAAGGGUUUUGAAUUUAUAUUAACAAUUAUGCAUUGUGAACCCUUUUGAUGAUAAUGUUUUGGUCUUGAGGUCUUACCCCUUAAACUAGAUUUUGUUUAUAUAUAUAUAUAUAUAUAUAUAUAUAUAUAUAUAUGUAUGCAUGUCAUUUGAUGUUUGGGGUUUGAAUUGAGAGCAAGAACCUUGUUUUUAUAUGUUAAGAAUUAUUCAAUAUCACACUGAUAAGCAUGUUGAAAAUGUCGUUACAGUUGUUUAAGACUUGAUAUUAAUUAUGAACGGAAGAGAGGGUGUCUCUUUUUUAUAUAAAGGAGAAGUGAUGAUUUUAAAGAGUUGCUCGUUUGUCACAAAAUACUUGACCACUACAUGUUUUAUGAAAUGUUGAAAAGAGAGAAUCUCUGCAUAGUUUGAAAUAUGUUUUGAAAACAAGAAUUCUCUUGAAUUGUUUGAUUGAUUUGGUGGUUUGAACAUUGUUUUUCUUGAAACGAGUUGUAAUUUGACAAUAUAUGGCUGAGAAUUAUGACUUUCAAGUCUUCAUAUAAUGAUACCAAAAUAGAUAAUGCCAUCACAGACUCAAAACGAAUAGAAGUUAGAUUUCAUUCAGAUUUUCAGAAUUUGAGUUCUUAAAUAUGCAUGUUCAGAAAAGGUUAAAAUGGGCUUAAGAGAUGUUAGGUGGUUACCAAAAGAAGGCACGAGUUCAGAUAACUCAUUUACCAAAAUCGUGUUUUGCCUAUACGGGUUAUUUGGUUCCCAAGAGGGAUUAUAUGUUGGCCUAGUGCCCUGUGACAUAUUAGACUCAGAAACUCCAACUCUUGUGCAAACUUGGGUUGGGGACUUACCCGCCGAGUCAAUGGCGGAUUCCAUAUAGCCCGUGGAAUAUCAUACUUGUAGGGUAUACCACCUAGCUCAGAACUAAGACAAAGAUGUUGAGUUGAUUUACAGAACUAUUUUUAAAGGCCUAUUUACUAUGCCCAUGUAUUUUCAAAUGGUUUUAUGAUGAUGUAUUUUUUUUAUGAAAUUCUCUCACUUACUUUAUGUAUCAGCAUUUUAUUUUUGGAUAGUCCUGCAUACCAUUACAUAUGUAUUGACCCCCUUUAUCUCAGGAUCUGAGGCACAGUCCCAGGGUCCCAUCCAGCAAUAGGCUUGUUUGUGUCAGCAGUUGCAGUUGGUAAGCCUUCUCUAUUCCGGAAGGCCUGAUUUUUAGAUUUUGUUGUUUUCUUCUGUUAUGAUCUACUGGGGGCCUAGUCCCAGUUUUAGAUAAGAUAUUGGCCCCUAUGUAUUAGAGAUUUCGCAGACUGUUGAUAGAUGUUUUUAGAAGUUAUGGAAUUUCAUUUUGAAUUGUUCCUUUGAAUUAUAUUAUUUGACCAUGAUUCCGUAUCGAUAUGUAUUUCUGCAUAGUCUUUUAUAGCAUGUGAACAUGUGUAUGAUGUCCAGAAAGUGAAGGCCGCUCCGGCCUUCAUCGCUCGGGAGGCUCAUCAUGGCCAGGGUCUCAGCUCGGGUCGUGACAUAGAGUACCUAACCAACAUAAAAUUUGAGUGGCUGAGAAAUGAUAUCUGCAGUGUUUAUCAUCCCAAAUAGUCCCUUAAAUUUAAAUAGUUGGUUCACUUAGGUCCCUACAAUGUAAUGUUGAACAUAAAUGGUCCUUUAUCUCUGGGGAUCUGGGGAGGUUAAAGCGUACACAAACCUUACAGCUAUCCUAGAGGUAGAAAGGAUGUUUCUGAUAAACCCUUGGCAAAAGAUAAAUAGUUCAAAGCAAUCGGAAAAAAGAUACCCCUUAUUUAAAAAAUAGAGAAAUUACAUCUCCUUGGAAGCAAGAGGAUAAUACUAAAACAUAUUAUUGUAACAGUAAAAUUUAAAGUUUAAAUAGUAAGAACUAUGAUGAAAUCUUGAACUUCAAUUCUUGUAGCUAUAUUCUGAAAUGAAAUUUCAGUAAUUGCUUUUAAAACUAAAAUAAGAGAAUCACUGGCUCAAAGUUGAGUUGAGAACUUUCCUACCAAUUGAGUUCUAGUGGACGUUCUUACUUGGGUCAACUUCCAACAAUUAUUAAUCCUAAUAUAUAAUGAGUUAGGAGUCUUACUACCUACCAAAGUAAAGGUUUUUGAGUCUUCUUUCCAAGCAAAAAGUUAUGGACAUUUUAGUGAGGCAUCUCAACUACACGUUGGGUAGCGCAGGGCGGAGCUCAAGUCAGUAGAUCACUGGUUUGCCUCCACGUUGGGAUGCGCAGCACGGAGCAUACCUCUCCACUGUAAAAGUUCAUUUUUCUCUUAUCAAAUUAGGGGUAAACUUGUCUUUUCACUCCAUGUAACUAUCCCAACCCGUUUUAUAACCCUAAAGUCGUCCUAAACUAGCAGAAAUCUUUAAAAUCCCUCAUACAAGGCAUUUAUUUCAAGUUAUUCGUAUUUUCUCAAUGAUGGAUUGAGACUAAGGUUGAAUGUUCAUGAAAUCAUGUUAUUGAAUCCUCUCUUUUACAAAUUGUUUUCUAAAUUUAUGUGUUCACUCAACUAAUAGUUAUUAGAUUAGAAAUAUGAGUAAUUAAGGAAAACUAACCUUUCAAUGGUAGAAAUUUGGGAAGAAGCAACUGAUCACUGCAAUAUUAUACACUAUGAGAAAAGAACAUAAAUAUGAGUAUAUGAAAACAAGAUAGAAAUAUUAACAAGUAAUCAAGAUUAAAAUCAAUAGAAAUAUGUCAUACCUGAUCUCUGAGUGACUAAAAUGGUAUUAAAUUUUAUAGAUAACAAAGUGUUGGCUUCUGAUAAAUUGGGAUGAUAACUUCAAUUAUUGUUGAAUGAGGGGAAAGUGAAUUUAUCUAUUUAAAUGGAACAACACUUCACUUAUAUUUUAAAAAGGAGUAAAGCAUCUAAGUGCCCUGAACUAUCAUCAAAUUUGCUACACGGCACUCUAAUUUUACGGGGCUCCUAUUACUUAACUAAAUUUUAACAUAUUUUUAUCAACCUUUUUACCUAACAUGACAUCUAAAACAUGGGCCCCAUUUUUAUGAAAUAAAUGUGCUAUGUCAGUGUAACGCCCCGCAUUUCGGGCUACAAUAAAGACCAUGAUUUCGAUGCGUUGAUAAUCCGAAAGCCAUAAAAUCCUAUGUCAAUAUGGCAUUUUAAUUUGUGUAGCAUGUGAAUCCAUUCAAGCUUAAAUUUAGACCAUAGAGGUCCUUCAACUCAUGGACGAGUUGAAACUAUUUUGAUAGACUAAGUUUUAGUGAACGUUGUAAAGUGUGUCAGCUUCCAUCAAUCAUAACUCUCUGUAUAUGUCAAAUUAGGAAGCCUACUAUGUUUCAAAUGAUAGGUAUUCGAGUUAGCUUUCCAACGAUACAAUUUUGGCUAAAAUCCAACACCCGAGCAAGAAGUUAUGGCCUUUCAAAGUGAUAUGCGUCGCCUAACCAAUCGCCCAUGGCCACUGGAAAGCAUAGGCAAUAACCUAGGCGGCACCUACGUAAACAUAGGCGAUAGCUUAGGCGGCUCCUAUGUGAACAUAGGCAAUGGGAUGGGCGGCGCCUAUGUAAAGAAUUCUAGUGACUUAAACACUCCGUUUUGGGGACAAAGUGGUCCUUUUCCACCCUUACUUAGCCCUAAAACACAAAAUUCAGUUCCAAGGACCCCAAAAUACCCCUUCAUUUAUCAAAAGUGCUCAAAGAUUCUCCUUAGGGUUUCAAAAUAAAAACCCAAAUAGUUCAAGAUUCGAUCGUAGGUUUUCAAAGAUAAUUACAUAUUUGGAAUCACCAAUCCGCAAGCUUCAAGAAACAUCUACUAUCCUUGGAAAUAGAGGUACGUGGGGUUACCCUAAAAUAUCAUGGGUGUAUUUUUUUUUGAGCAUGCAUGCUUUUAAUUGGAGGUUUUCAAUGAAAUGCUAAUAACUUGCUUUCACUAUGAUUUCUAAGUCAUCUUUCUUUAUGUCGUGCGAAUUGGUUGCUUAUGUACUUCAAUUGUUGAAACCAUGCAUAUGUGAUUUGAGAUUUUCCAUGGAAGUUUGAUGAAUAUGAAUGAUAAAUUGCUUUCAAAUUCCCAUGAUAAUGUCUUGAUACCCCACCAUAUCAUAUUGUGAUCAACAAAAGAGAGCAUGAAUUUGAAAUAAAUAUUGUUCACCACUUGUAAAUGAUGAAGCACCUUGGUUUUUACAUGGUUAUGCAUAUGUGAAAGUGAUAUUGAGGACUUGCAAUUCGGGUAUGACGAUACCCUACAGAACAUGAUAUGUGAUUGAAUCAGAUGAAAUUUGAAUGCAUUGAUUUUACAUGAGAAAGGUGGAUGCCCGAAGAAGGCGUUUGAGAGUAAGGGUUCAUCGCAGGAAAACGUGUUUGCCGACAUGGAAUUGUGGUACCAGGGUAAGUGAUCUUGUGUACUUUACUUCAUGUCAUUCCCAAAUUGGGACUAUAGGUAGGAUCCCGAGCUAAGUUAUCUUGGGCACUACCAGUGGGUUGAGACACCAUGCUUUGUGGUCUUGAGUGUCUCUCCCUCACUUAUACUCUAAUCUUGACGGCAACCGAGGUUAGAAAAUUGGUGUAAAUUAUGUAGGGUAUUCCACCUAGCUCAGUUGCAUUUCAUNNNNNNNNNNNNNNNNNNNNNNNNNNNNNNNNNNNNNNNNNNNNNNNNNNNNNNNNNNCUUUAUAAUGGCUCUCAACUAUAUUUUGUAAAAAUAUUAUGUUUUGUUUUGAUAUCUAUGUGUGCCAAUACUUUUGUACUGACCCCCUCCCCUCUCCAACCUCUCAGGUUCAGAGGCCCAGUCUAGGGGUCAAGAGAAUCAUAGAGUUGCAGAAAAAAGUGGUGAGCCUUCUAUGUUUCAGAAAUUCUUAUGUCCUGUAGUCCUUUUACCUUAUAUUCAGUUUUUAGGUCUACUGGGGGCCUUGUCCUAGUUUAUAUACGGUUACUUGACUCAGUCAUUUGUUAGAGAUUUUCGCAGACAGUUGUUUAGGGGUUAAUUGAUGUUGAGGGAACCUUAUCUCCCCGUUAUUGUUUCUUUUCAUAUUUAUGACCAUGUUUCCGAAUUAUUGUGUUUCUUCUGCAUUACUUUGAUCAUAUGAAUUAGGUGCAUGAUUACCAGACAGAUAGGGUGUUUCGGGCCUCCAUGGUUCGAAAUGCUCGUCACGGCCGGGCCCUGGUUCGGGUCGUGACAGUCAGCUCAAAAGAAUAACAAAAAUACGCUAAAAUUGAAUUCAGGGGUAAUAGGACCCCUAUGAAGUUGGACUGUAUUGUAGUAAUUUUGGUCAUAAUUAGAGAGGGUACUGAAUUCUUAUCUCUUUUAAAAAUAAAGUUAAAGAUGAUUAUAUUGUGUUUCAAUUAUCUAUAAUACUAUUUUUGUUGUCACACAAUUUUUCUGAAUGCUAUGUCCUGCUUUCUUUAUUACUUGUCAGGUUUUUGUCUAUUUUUAUAACGAAUUUCAUUUAUUGCAUUUAUGCGAGGGUCCUUCAAAAACGAUCUCUCUUCUUCUACGAGAUAGGGGCAAUAUCUGCUUACACUUACUCUUCUUCGGAUCUUAUUAGAUAUAGCUCAUUGAUGUAUUAAAGAAAGAACUUGGCCAAUUUGUUGUACCGAUCACAAAUUUUUUAUUUAUAUUAGCUGUCUGCAACUUGUACUUUGUGGACUAAUCAAUAAACAAAUACUGUAAUAAAUCACCAGCUUAGGAGCCAAAUAGUGGAGUAUUUUUUUUCUUAAAAAAAGAAAACUUUUUGACUAAUAUGAGUAAUGCUAUGACUCAAUUAUCAAGACUAUCUUUAACUUGCUAAACAAAAAUAUUUUAAUUUUUUAUUCAGUGGGACAUAUAACAACUUAAUAAGUACUCCCUCAGUUUCCAAAAAAUGAUUUACGUUCAUUUUUAGUAUGUUCAAAAAAGAAUGAUUAUUUUUUUUUGGCAACACUAUUUCAACUUUUCACAUGAUUUGUUUAAGAUCACAAGAUUAAAAGACAUUUUAGUACAUUUGAUAUAAUUUUAAUUUAAAAUCACAAGACUUAAAAUUCUUUUUAUUUUGUUAAAUUUCAUACUAAAUCCAAAUAAGUGAUUCUUUUUAAAAUGAAAGAGUAUUAUGCAAGUGAUUAAUAAUAAAAUAGGAAUGCAAAAUUUGCAGAAAGGUCGAGAAAGGCCUUUGUACUUUGCAAAAAGGUCGAACAUUGCCCCUGCUAGAAGUUUGGCUCACUAUGUGUUACGACCCGAACUGAGGCCUGGCCGUGAUGGAUAUCCCCAACCAUGAAGGCCCGGAACGCCCUUCUCUAUCUGAUAAUCAUGCACAACAUACAUAUAAUAAAAGAAAAUGUGGAAAUAUAAUCGAAUAGGGAAACAUGGUCAUAAUCUGAAUUUAAUUUAACAAUGAAGGAUGAAACCCCAAUAUCAACAAAACAACAUCUGAACUAGUAUGCGAAAUCUCUACUACAUCUGAAAAUAACAACAAUCUGAAAACUAGGACAAGGCCCCAGUAGACCAAAACCAUAAUAAGUAACAUAAUCUGAAAGACAUAGGCCUUCUAAAAUAAAGAAGGCUCACCAAUUGAACACAUCACUAUUGUCUGGAAACUCUAUGGCUUAGCAGAACCUCUAAACUGAACUUUACACCCUGGGAGGUAGGGGUCAAUACAAAUGUACUGGUACGCAGAGCAAAUCCAAAAUAAUAAUUUGUAUUCAACAUAUAUGAGAGAAAUUUAAAACAGUUCAUAAAUAUAUCAUAUAGUAAGAAACCUCAUGGGCAUUUUCGAAAGACUUUUGAAAAUCAUCUGAACUCUGUGACAUUCUUUUUUUACUUCUGUGCUACAUGGUAUACCCUACAAUUCUGUAAUUCCACAGGCUAUAUGGAAUCUGCCAUUGACUUGGUAGUCAAGACCCCAACCCAAGUGUGUCGCAAGGGUCGAGUCUCUGAAUCUACUACGCCACAUGGCCAUCGCCAGCGUACAAUAAUAAUCUUCCCGUAUCGACAAAUACGGUUUUAGGCUAAGAGUUACUUGAACUCAAGACUUCUUUGGGUAACCACCUAACACUCUUUAUGCCCAUUUUUAACUCUUUAAAACAUGCAUUCUCUAAAAUAUAUUCUGAAAACAUUCUCUGAAGACAUACUCUGAAAACAUACUCUAAAAAACAUACUCUAAAAACAUACUCUGUUAUGGCAUACAUACUUAUGGUAUCGUCAUACCAUUGAUUUGUCAGGCACAUCUCUGAGCCAUUAUUAACAUAUUAGAAUCUCUAUUUCCAAAACAUAAAUUUGGGACCAUAUCAAUAAAUCAGUUCGAAGCACCCUUUACUUAAAUACUCAUGUAAAAACAUGUAUGCAACUCUCUUUGACAACAUUUCAAAUGAUACAAGGUGGUCAUAUCAAAAUUCUUAAUCUAUUGCAAAUCUUUCUCUCUUUAACAAAACACAUUUAUAUGAAGAAACUCCAUCUCAAAAUCUCUAAAUCAUGCUCAAAAUACUAUGGUAUUGAGUAAACUAUUUUCAAACCAUGAAUCAUGCAUAUCAAAUCAUUCACAAUAAGAUCACAAAUUUAAAGUCAUCACAAGAGAGGGAUGUCACAUUUAUGCUCUCAAACAAUCUUCAAAUCUGAAUUUUUCAUACAUAUACAUAUACAUGUAAAUUAAUUUAAGGGAAAAGGCCUAAGGGCCAAAUCAAUGAUGCAUUUGAACAUUUAUAUUGCAUAAUAAAAUCAUGUAUUUCAAAACCCUUUUCUAAAUUCAUGCUUGAAAAUCUUUAAAUCAUGUUCUAGUGUUUUCAAGCACAUGUAGUUUUUAGGAUAAACCCCACGUACCUUAAAUUACAAGAUCUGAAAGAUGGAACCUAGAUCUUGAUAGAUGAAACCUGGAUCUUGAUUUGUUUCUUGGAGAUCUUGAACUUGAGGCUUGUUUUUCUUGGAUUUCUUGUUCUUGGAGAAAACCCUAAUUUGAUUUAUUUUAAGAAUGAAAAGGAAAUUUUGAUGUUAUAAAACUGAUAAUGAUUGAUUAAUAACACUUAAGGGAUAAUUUAAUUCAUGUGAAAGAUUUUUGGAGUGAGGGAAAGACCAAAAUACCCCUACGAAAUCACUUCCCAGCUGCUGAAAUUCUUAGCUGACGAUCAAGGCUGAUAAGCCGUCAGAUCUGUGAUAGCCCGUCAGCCCAGGUCAUCUCCUAGGACCUAAAAUUGAUGGGUUCGCCUAAGGCUGACGACAUAUUCUGACAAGUCAUCAGAUUUGUGACAAGCCGUCAGAAUUGUCGUCACUCAGUUGCCAGGUUGAUAUGCUGGAGUAAAAUGGACAUAACUUUUUGCUCCAAUAUCGAAUUUUUACAAAAUUGUUGGCAUUGGAAAGAUGACUCAAAGAAAUUUCAUUUGAUGUAUAGUAGGCCCCUCAGUUCAUCAUAUACAAGUAUUUAUGGUCGAUUGAAGUUGUUCCAAGUUUUGACGCUCACUAAAACUUGAACGAUAAGAAAACUUUCAACUAGUCCUUAAGGGACCUCUAUGAUCUGGACUCAUGCCCAUAUAGAUUCAUACACUACAUAAAUAAUUAACACACUAUAUUUGCAUUGGAUUUAUGGCUUUUGGAACAUCUACACAUAGAAAUGACGGUCUUCAUUCUAGCCCGAAAUACGGGGUGUUACAUUAUCUCCCCCUUGGGAUUAUUCGGCCCCGAGUGAUGGGUAGGAACUUGUUGAAGCUUAAAGGUAUGGAAUAACGCGAACAUGAUGUACCUUCUAAGAAAGGACAUAAAUGAUCUGAAACAUUUAAACUUCUAUCAUGAAACUGAAUUCUGAGCUGACUUCACUUCUCUUGCUUCAAGAAGCUGAUUCAUGCUGAAAGUUUAGGAUUCCCUUCAAAUGUUCAUGAUCCAAUCAUACAUAUUGAAUUUUUAAGUGAUAACUUAUGCAAUUACGAAUCAUAAGACAGCAAGACUUAGAUCGUACAAGGGUAUUACAUUGUCUGAGCUAAAAUAUUUGGAAAAUUUGAGAUUAUGCACUGAACUCUUAUGAACAGAGUCAUGACUAAAUAGAUGAAUCUGAAACAUAAUGCUUGGAUUGAACUGAAUUCUCAAUUUACAUGGAUGGAAUAGAUUAUCUCUUGGGAUGGUCAUAUGCAUGAGACUUCGGAUAGUAGGGCCAGGUGAAAAGGUGGAAAACCACAACAACUUGUCUGCCUGACUGUUAAACUGAAUUUCUGGCUAUUCAGAUUGAACUAUACUAGAAACUUAUAUGUAACUGGAGUAUCUCCUCCACACCCUCUCUAAAGAAGUUCUAGUACCAUUAGGGAGCAAAGAAUCUUGAGCAUGAGUUACACAAUGCAUCCAACUACGGAAUUACAACAAUGACAUCACUCUAUAGCAUGGAAUAUAAACAUAUAGGUCAUAAACUAGGAUAGAAUUACCAGGCCUUAGAAAAUACAACUUCUUACUUUCAAGCUUAGCACACUUCUUGAAUAUCCCUUAACUCUACUAUUCUCCUUAAAUACCAUAUACAUUCGAUUCAACUUAUUACUCUCAUGUGGGCAUUUAUAAAUCUUUCUACUAAUGUCUAUAGUAGCUUAAAUCCUCUCACGGUGAUCAAGCCUAACUCCAAUUCACAAACUACAACAAGCCACACUAUGAUACUAGUCUAAACCAUAUGAUUCAACCUUCUAUAUCCUUUUAAAGUUCACCCUACGCAUAUCGUGCCUUACCACUUAAUGACUAACUCUGAUCUCUUACUAUGGAUUCACUAGCACAUAUUACGUUCCUCUACCUAAAUCCCAACAGGUCAUUCAAUCCUAUCUUUAUAACCACAUAUGAACUUUAAGAUAAACACUCAUAAAGACAUACUUCACAUAUUCUCUAAACCACUAUCAAUAUAACUCCCACGUGCUACCCCAAGAACAUACACACACCAAUUUCCACUAAACAUCACAUGUAUUCAAGACUUGGCUCCAGAUCUUACUUUACACUUAUGGCCUUAUCUAAAACAAGCAUACAAUGAUCUUCUAUCAACAAGAAAACAUCCACUUAUCACCACAAUUAUUACAUAAGGAUGAGUCACUAACAGGUUAAAACAUAAGACUUUGAAGUAUGGAAGGAUACUAUACGAAACUCGACACUUAACUGAGGCCAGAGGAACAGCGAAUCAACAUCAGGGAUUCAUCAGAGUGAUUUAAAUUUAGGGCAUACCUGGCUAUAAGCUGAAUCUCGCCAAUCAUUUGGCGUGUAGCUUGAGUUAUGGGAACUGAGCACACUAUAAAGCAUUAGUACAUGAGUCAUAAGCUGCAUGACCUCAAUUUGGAGUUCAUAACAUAUGGAAUGUGAUUCUGACUAAUGAUUGAACUGGAACUCCUUAUUUUGGAACUGGAAGAGUACGUAAAUUUCUAUCAUAUGCAUGAACAUGAACCAUGAUCUGGAACUGAAACGUAAGGCAUGAGUAGGUAUUGGGAUAACUGAAAAAUACUGAGAUAAGAAUGGGUUGAGCCUCACCCUCAUUUUUUGAUGUUCUAUAUCAUACUGGCAUCACUACUAGAAUCUGAGAGCCUAACUUGGUUAUUCGUCCUCUCAUCUCCCCCUUAGCUUCAAGUCAUCAUCUUAAGUUUGAGCGAUAUCUUUCUAGACUUUAAACUGAACUACACUUACUGCACUUUAGGUUCUGAAAAAUGACCAUACACACACAUCAUAGAACUUAACCCGAAUGACUACACCUAAAAGUGGAAAACCCACUGUUAAUACUACCUUUUGAGGUACACUCUAUCUUUUUAUAGCCAUCAAUGGUCAUCAUAUAGUACUUGAACACUUACUAAUUUCGAAUCUUCAUGAAUAUCCCCCUAGUUGAAGUGCACAUCCUCUAGUGUUUCUACUUUUAUUUCUAUUAGUGCAACCCUCAACUCAAACUUAGAUUCCAACACUUAACAUGGACAUCACCAAGACUUUGAUCAACCAUGCUUCUUUCGCCAUAGCCUACCAAUAUCGCGACACCAAACUUAUAUCACUCUACCAUGAGGAUCAAGAUCAUAUCAAAAGGCUCCACACUAUCAGUCAAAACCCCUUAACUUGGCCAUUUAGAACACCAUGUACCAUCUAACUAGUCUUUCUCCACCUAGCAACUCAAUGGUACCACUAGCCACAUACAACAUGAAAUAGCCUUAGAGAAAAUACCGCAACCACAUAUCACCUUGGGCAUACGUUUUACCUCAUACAUACAAUAUCAAACUUCAUUAUUAAUCAAAUAAACUUAAUCUAUUGCAUACACUGUUCAAGCCUAUUAGAUCACUUCCAUAAAACUAGCAUCAUUAACCAAGAAAUCAUCGCAUCCACCUUCAUGGACACCAACUAAUCAAACUUAAUGUCUAGUGCUAAACAUGAUUUACACCCCAACCUAACAUGUAAUUCUCACAAACAUUCAUCAUUAAUCUUAAGCCACAAUUCUUACAUCCACAUUCUACAUUAAAUUCAAGCCUAUAGUCUAACGUCAACCAUUUACCACCAAUGAAGAAUGCAACAUAAUAUACUAGUCCAUCAAAUUGGGACAUUCUAUCUAAAUACCUCGAAAAAGCUACUAGUUUACAACUAUCAACGAAAAAAAGGUCGUAAUCUCAUAUCAUAACCCCAUACAAUCUUAUCUACUUAUACGGAUUUCUCACAUCACACUUACUUACCAAAGCAUACAUUUAGACUAUCUUCAAAUUCCACAACAACCAUGAGUCUAUAAUUAUAACCUACUGGCUCAUCUAGCCAUUUUCAUAAUUCAAGCAUACAACAAUUCACCUUAACUAAUAACUCCUCCUCUACCUUCUACUAAACUAACACACAAGGACGUAUCACUUCAUUACCAACUCAAUAUCAUGUGAAAAGAUUCGGCUAUACAUAUAUUCAACCAACACAAGAACAACAAGUUGCUAGUGAAUCGAAAAAGGCCUCACACGGUUUUACUAGACUUUGAUUUUUUUGUGUUUUGAACAAGAAAAUAAGAUGAAUGACAAAGAAACUAUGCUAGUGAAUCGAAAGAGCACCACAUGGCUUCACUAGACUUUGAGUUUCAAUAACACAAUGAGAACAAGAUUUCAAGAGAUCAAAACUUGACACACAAUAAUCAAGGAUCUAAGAAUACAUAUCUUACUCUAUAUGAAUAAAAAAAAUUUGAGUCAAACACUCCCCCCACAGACUACCAUACAAUCCACACAUGCUACUAGCUACCACAUUAGUCUAUUACUAUAAAGGGGUAGAUCAUCCUCAAAUAUUGGUUAUUCAACUAAAAUAUUUAUUUACACAAAAGUCACCCUCACUCUAACUUCUAAAUUUGUGACUUCACAUCACCAACUUCUUGGUCCAGCAUUACUACCAACAGGUCAUGACACCGACACUUAACUUAUACUACUACUCGGGCAGUUCGAACAUUAUGCUACACAUCAUCCCCCUGAAGCGUGACAUCUGUAACAUAAAUUCUGAAAAGGACUGAAUACACUUAAUACUGUAUGCUGAAAAGCACGAUCUCAUCAGAAUCAAAGUUCACGCUAGAAUCGAUACACUCUGAAUUACUAACGGACUCUUCUUAAGCCCUUGCACAAUUUUAAAAUCUUAUAUGGCUCAAUUAGAAAGGACCAGACCAUUUAGACUCUAAACUUCUGAACUUGAAUCGCCCCAAUAAUGAGACAUAUCUAAGAACAUUAAAGUAAGGAAAGAAUUAGGAUAACUUCACUUUCGUAUGGGAGACACCAUAGCAUGAAUUAUAGUAUGAAAGAGGAACAUUCUGACUCUAUAGCAUGAACUCAAACAUGAAGAAAGGGAGACAUUCCUAAAUUCCUAUAGCCUCCUUCUUAUAAGUGUGGCACGCUACGCACCCAUAAAUAAUAUCCUAGCCAACAUGAUUUUGCAGACACCCUGGGACCAUGAACCUGUCUCUGAUACCAAGUUUGUCACGACCCAAACUAGGGCCUGGCCAUGACAGAUAUCCCAAACCAUGAAGGCUCGGAACGCCCUUCUCUAUCUGGUAAUCAUGCACAACAUUCAUAUAAUAAAAGAAAAUGUAGAAAUAUAAUCGAAUAUGAAAACAUGGUCAUACUCUGAAUUUAAUUUAACAAUGAAGGAUGAAACCCCAAUAUCAAUAAAAUAAUAUAUGAACCAGUCUGCGAAAUCUCUACUAUAUCUGAAAAACAACUAUCUAAAAAUUGGGACAAGGCCCCAGUAGAUCAAAACCAUAAUAAGUAACAUAAUCUGAAAGACAUAGGCCUUCUGAAAUAAAGAAGGUUCACCAACUGCACACAUCACUACUGUAUGGAAACUCUAUGGCUUAGCAGGACCUUAGAAAUGAACUUUAGAUCCUGGGAGGUAGGGGGUCAAUACAAAUAUACUGGUAUGCUGAGCAAAUUUAAAAUAAUAAUUUUUAUUCAACAUAUAUGAGAGCAAUUUAAAAUAGUUCAUAAAUAUAUCAUAUAGUAAGAAAUCUCAUGGGCAUUUUCAAAAGACUCAGUAAAAUCAUCUGAACUCUGCGACACUCUUUGUUUUACUUCUGCGCUAAGUGGUAUACCUUACAAUUCUGUAAUUUCAUGGGCUAUAUGGAAUUUACUAUUAACAUAGCAGCCAAACCCCCAACCCAAAUGUGCCGCAAGGGUUGGAGUCUCUGAAUCUACUAUACCACACGGUCGUCGUCAGCGUACCACAAUAAUCUGCCUGUAUCGGCAAAUACAGUUUUAGGCUAAGAGUUACUUGAACUCAAGCAUUCUUUGGGUAACCACCUAACCCUCUUUAUGCCUCUUUGUAAUUCUUUAAAAUAUGCAUUCUCUCAAAACAUAUUCUGAAAACACUCUCUGAAGACAUACUCUGAAAACAUACUAUGAAAACAUACUCUGUUAUGGCAUACAUACUUAUGGUAUCGUCAUACCAUUGACUUGCAAGUCACAUCUAUUAGCCAUUAUUAGCAUAUUAGAAUCUAUGUUUCCAAAAUAUAAAUUUGAGGCCACCAUAUCAAUAAAUUAGUUCGAAGCACCCUUUCCUUAAAUACUCAUGUAAACAUAUGUAUGCAACUCUCUUUGACAACAUUUCAAAUGAUACAAGGUGGUCAUGUUAAAAUUCUUCAUCUUGUGCAAAUUUUUCUCUCUUUAACAAAAAACAUUUAUAUCAAGAAACUCCCUCUCAAAAUCUCUAAAUCAUGCUCAAAAUACUAUGGUAUUUCAGUAAACAAUUUUCAAGCUAUGAAUCAUGCAUAUCAAAUCAUUCCCAAUAAGAUCACAAAUUUAAAGUCAUCACAAGAGAGGGAUGUCAUAAUUUAUGCUCUCAAACAAUCUUCAAAUCUGAAUUUUUCAUACAUAUACACAUACAUGUAAGUCAAUUUAAGGGGAAAGGCCUAAGGGCCAAAUCAAUAAUGCAUUUGAACAUUUAUAUUGCAUAAUAAAAUCAUGUAUUUCAAAACCCCUUUCUAAAUUUAUGCUUGAAAAUCUUUAAAUCAUGUUCUAGUGUUUUCAAGCCCAUGUAGUUUUUAGGAUAAACCCCAAGUAUCUUAAAUUAUAAGAUCUGAAAGAUGGAACCUAGAUCUUGAUAGAUGAAACCUAGAUCUUGAUUUGUUUCUUGGAGAUCUUGAACUUAAGGCUUGAUUUUCUGGAAUUUCUUGUUCUUGGAGAAAACCCUAAUUUGAUCUAAUUUUGAGAGUGAAAGGGAAGUUUUUGAUGUUGUAAAACCAAUAAUGAUUGAUUAAUAACAUUUAAGGGAUGAUUUAAUUCGUGUGAAAGGUUUUAGUAGUGAGGGAAAGACCAAAAUACCCCUACGAAAUCACUUCCAAGUUGCUGAAAUUCUCAGCUGACGACCAAGGCUGAUAAGCCGUCAGAUCUGUGAUAACCCGUCAGCCCAGGUCAUCACCUAGGACCUGAAAUUGAUGGGUUUCUUCCUAAGGCUGAUGACAUAUUCUGACAAGUCGUCAGAUUUCUGAUAAGCCAUCAGAAUUAUCGUCGCUCAGUUGCCAGGCUGAUAUGCUGGAGUAAAAUGGACAAAACUUUUUGUUCCGAUUUUGAAUUUUUACAAAAUUAUUGGCGUUGGAAAGAAAACUCAAUGAAAUUUCAUUUGAUAUAUAGUAGGCCCCUCAGUUCGUCAUAUACGAUGAGUUAUGGUUGAUUGAAUUUGAUCAAAGUUUUGACUCUCACUAAAACUUGAACGAUAGGAAAGCUUUCAACUAGUCCUUAAGUUAAGGGACCUCUAUGAUUUGGACUCAUGCCAAACUAGAUUCACACACUACAUAAAAUAAUACCACACUAUAUUUGCAUUAUAUUUAUGGCUUUUGGAACAUCUACGCGUAGAAAUGAUGGUUUUCAUUCUAGCCCGAAAUGCGGGGUAUUACACUAUGUUAUUGUCGUUACAAUAUUGGCUUGAAAAUUGCUCAUAGUCAAUAUCGGCAGGGCCAUAGCUGAACUAAAUUUAUAUUUAUAUUAGCACAUAAACUUGCCUCAUGGCUAUGCCGCCAGAGAGACACAACGCAAACUAUACCCUCAAAAAAAUAGAAGCUGACGGGUUCAAGUCAUUAAAACAACCUUUAACAGCAAAUGUAGGUAAGACCGUAUAUAGUAGUCCAUUAUGGUUCAACCCUUUUUCCCAGAAUUUCCCUGUGCUUAUAAAGUUUCCUAACACUGAAUCUUGAUAAUAAAUGUUCACAUAACAAUUUUGUUUUCAUAAACAGCUGAAUUUUUUUAAAAAUCAAGUGCGAGCCUCGAAAACAUAACUAAUGAAUUAUGCAUAAAUGGGACCUUUAACUUAGCACCAGCUGGAAUCUAUAUUAUCCAAGACAUACUGUAAUAUGUUCAUAGACAAGAUCACUAGUAGGAUAAGGACUGUAACACUCAAUUCUGUAUUGUUUUUGUUGGAAAUUGCUUAAGUUACUGCACUAGUUUUUUAGCAAAAUAAGUUAGUUAAUUUGGGACGAAUUUGAAUUUUGAAUUUAAGUUAGGUUGUUUGAUUUGUUGAGACAUUUUAGUUAGUUUAAAUUUAGAAUAUUGCUGAUUUUUCUAUUGUAAGGUGGCUAUUUAAAGCCCCUUGAUGUUCAAUAAAAUUAUUGAAUACUAUUGAAUGCUAUUGAAAGUUAUUCAAUUCUUUGAGAGCCAUUUUAACCCUAUUUUUGUUGCCCCACCUUCUUUUAAAAAAACCAACAGUGGUAUCAAGAGCCUCAUUGAUCUUACGGGAUUUGUGCGUUCUUCCAAAGUGCUACCAUACCAUUUUUAACCCUCAAGGGCUAUCUUUUAAACCGGCAAGGCUACCUUUUUAACCCGUAAGGGCUCCAUUUUAAUCCAUCAGGGCUACCUUUUUCAACCCGUGCUUAUUUUCAAAGCAUAGGGCUAUUUUAAGCCAAAAAGUUGUCAAGCAGUAGUCUAUCUUUGAAUGCCCUAAAAAUUUUCACAGACAAAAAUGAUCAAAUUUGUUCUGCAAAGAAAUUAUAUUUUGAAACCUAUGCUUUAUGUGAUGUUUUGAUGAAUGAAAAAUCCUUACAACAUUUUGCAAAGUCUAUGAAAGUAUUUUCAAACAACAUAAGAUUGUUGAUGGUUUUUCAGCAAAGAAUGAAAAGAAAAAAGAGAAAGAUGAACAUCAAAAAGAUGUGCAAGUUCAAAAAAAAUUGAAAAAUUCAGCAUCCAUUGCCAGAGCAAAAAUUGAGGAGGAGUAGCUUUUAAAUCACAGUAACUAAAGCAAAGGAGGCGUGUUGGAAAUUGCUUAAGUUGCUGCACUAGUUUUUUAGCAACAUAAGUUAGUUAAUUUAGGAUGAAUUUGAAUUUUGAAUUUAAGUUAGGUUGUUUUAUCUGUUGAAACAUUUUAGUUAGUUUAAAUUUUGAAUGUUGCUGAUUUUUCUAUUGUAAGGUGGGUAUUUAAAGCCCCUUGAUGUUCAAUAAAAUAAUUGAAUACUAUUGAAUGCUAUUGAAAGUUAUUCAAUCCUUUGAGAGCCAUUUUAACCCCCUUUUCGCUGCCCCAUCUUCUUUUAAAAAAAACAACAGUUUUCUAUCUAUAAUUUUUGAGCUGUAGUAUUUGUUCAAACAAAAUGAAUCCCAUGCCACUAGAUUGAUCUUUCUCUUCUCCUCAUUACCUUAAGAGUGUAUUGAAGGAGGUAGCUAACAGGUGCAAAUGAUUCUAAUCGGGGAGGUAAUGAGGAGAAGAGAAAGAUCAAUCUAGUGGCAUGGGAUUCAUUUUGUUUGCCUAAAUGUAAUGGUGGUUUAAGUAUCAAGGAUAGCAGGCUUUGGAAUUUGUCUGUUGUUGGUGAACCGUUGUGGCAAAUUGUGGUGGAUAAAACUUCUUUGAGGGUGAAAUGGGUGCGUCGCAUUUAUAUAAAAAACGCACAAUAUGGCGUCAACUCACAUCUAUGACCUCCAACUUUGGAUGUGCACAAGUAGACACUUAAACCUUUAUAAAGUUAAACAAGUAGACACAUACUUCCUAUGUGGCAUCCUACUCAGCCAAUUCUUGUCCUAUAUGGCGUCCUACAUGUAUUAUGCCACAUAGGACGUGUGUGUGUGUCAUUCAACUUUAUAGAAGUUUAAGUGUCUACUUAUUUACACAAAAUUUGAGGUCAUAGUUGUGAUUUGAGGCCAAGUUAAAGGGCAUGUUUAUGUAUUAUGCCUAUAAAAAAUGACCCUACUUUCUGGGAACAUAGACGACCUCAAGAUUGCAGUUGGUACUGGAAGAAACUGAAUUCGUUGAAGGGUGAAAUGUCAUCUUUGUAUACACAAGGACAGUACAAUCUUACUAGUAUGGGGGAGAUAUUCUAUAACGAGUAGCUACAUGGCUCUGCUGGGAACUCAAAGGAGAUCGAUUGGGUUCUGCUAACUUGAUAUGGAACUCGGUAUCUCAACCAAAGCUUAGGUUUAUUGCAUGAUUAGAAGCUAAAGAGAGAUUACUCAACUAAAAGUAGACUAAUCAGACUCAAACAUUCAGGUACAUGAUGUGACGACAUGAUGUUUGCUCAGGACAGAAAACUCAAAUCAAAUCAAAUUCGUCCAGUUUGAGAUGCCUUAAUUGCAUUAGUACCCAAAUUUUCUCAAGACAGAAAACUAUACUCAUGCCACCAAAAACAAAAUGUGUGUCCUUGGAACUUCAAUCAUAUGUUGAGGGAACUUAUGCCUUUCUGUUAAAUUCUUCUUUCGAAUAAAUAGAUCGCAGAAAUCAAUUCAAGAAUAUGAGUUACUCCAUUACUUCUUCCGAAUAUCAUUGGGAUCCCCAAGAAUAUACCAUCAAACAUACACAAUAAAUAUUAAACCAAGAAACUAAAGUAUAAACUAAAUCAUCAUCCAUUUCCCAAAACAUAAAUUUCUCCAUGAAGGAGGAAAAGUACAUCACAGUAAGAAUUAAGAAGCUAGAAGUCAUUACAACAUAGAAAUUUAUCGAAUAAAACUACCACUAUUGAAUAGAAACCGAUUGAAUGCUCUUGUUGCUCCUCCUCUCCUUGUCUUCUUUCUUCCAAAGGCUGCUCCAAGAGUCCACGAUACUUAGUUGAGAUAAACCCUUCUUCUUAUGUUGUAAAAUUUCCCACUUUUUACUUUGUGUCUUAGUAUAACAAAGCAACAUAAAUUAGAAAUCUAAAAUCUUCCAAUUACAAUCAAAUCAUGUCAAUUAAAGUCUAGAAACAUCAAGAAUAUUUAGUGAUACGGGAAUUCCUAGGUCGAGACCUUUCACAUGAAACCAAGCACGUGAGUUGCAACGACUCCAAGCCUUGUUCACAUUCUUGGCCAUGUGUGAGGCCCUUGUGAGCCCAUCUAAGGGCCUAUAUUUAAUAAAAUGUGAAGAGGCCCACCAAGACACCCCAAAACCACCCACUUAAAUGCCAAGGGUAUUUUGGUCUUUGUCCCUCCUUUCUAAGUGACUAUAUAAGCCAUGUAAUAGGGCUAGUCUUGCUUUAGUUCAUUCCUAUUAUUCAAGAAACAAAAGACUUGUAAAUUUUUUACUUCUCUUUCUCAUUUAGAGAGGCCAAAACCGAAUUCUCACUAGUAGAGUGAUACUAGUGCUGUAUCUUGGAUAGAAACUAGGUUCUUCGGGUUCUUUGAGUUCCUCUUGGUCCAAGUAAGAACUUUGUAUUGAUAUUUAUUAGUCUUAGGGUCCUUUCUCUUGUUAGAGUUCUUAGAUUAGUGAAUAUUGUGUGUCAAGUUUCUAUCUCUUUCUUUGUAAAUCUUGUUAACAUUGUGUUAUUGAAUAUAAAAGUCUAGUGAAGCCGUGUGGGGCUCUUUUGAUUCACUAGCAAUAUUGUCUUUGUUGUUCUUGUUGUCAAACUCACUUUUCUAGUUCACACAAGUGUUGCAAGCCUAGUGAAGCCGUGUGUGGCCAUUUUCGAUUCACUAGAACUUUGUUGUUCAUCUUGUUGUUCUUGUGUUGGUUGGAAUCUCUUGAUACACACUUAGCAUUGUAUCAUUUAGCUCAUGAGUACAUCAUUAUAUAUAUUUUUAAAAUGACAUUAAAAGACGAUUUCUAACACUGAAUCUUGGAAGUAACAUAUAUUUUUUUUUCAUAAACAAUCUUUUUUUUUUAAACUCAAGAGGAAGCCUCCAAAACAACACAAUUGUUGGUGCACAUAUCCUUGCACCUAUAAUUUUAGUCUGUUCAGACAUUAUAAUAAAUCAUUUUGCACAAGACCGUAAUGCUUCAAAUGCAAAAAAAUGAGCUACCAAUCCAAAUAAGGAAAUGAGAAACGGAGUGUAACCUUGAUAAUUAUAUACUUACGUGGAUUGUAGAUACGAACAUCCACUGGGUUGUUUCCGAGGUCUUCUUGUUCUUUUUGAAUUCGUGCAGCAGAUUCGCCAAGUUCUGGAACAAAACUUGUUAACUCAAUCAAUUGUAGUGAGUGGAUAUAUGCAAACUCAAUGGGUAUCUCCUUCAAAUUAUGGAAUUCGCUGAUGAUACAAGUCAAAUGGCUGCCUUAGCUUUCAAUGACAUCAUUCAAAGUUACUACAUGAAGAAUCAAGCUUUGGUCGCAUGGAGGGAAUGGUAUCAUACUUGGAGGGGUCUUCUUGAGCAUGCCAUUAAACAAACCCGAGUGUGGAAGAUUGCUUGGAGCCUUGAUAACUUGAGGACCCUCGGGUUUGGGCCAUACUUGGUGGUUCACGGUUUUGGUCAUUUAGACUUGUCUAAAUGACACCCCAUGGCCACCCCACCUCAUUAAGGGCAUUGGAGUUAUUUUAUCUUUCUUUUGUAAGAUACUAUAUAUAGUUUUGAAUGAUGAAUGUAUGAAACACUUGAAAAUCCUCUCUCUUGAGCGUAGACCACCUUAGUAUAGUCUUAGUUAGGGCUUGGAAAAGUCAUCCUUAGUAUAGGGCUUGGAAAAGCCAAUAUUGACCUUUGCUUGGAAAUGGUGGAUCUUGAGGUGAGUUGAUUCCCUUGGCGGUCACUGUAAGAGUGUGGUUUUGAUUAUUACAUUCAUUAGGGGUUAGUGUUGAAAUACACUUGGUUCUUAAUCUUAUAAUAAUCUUGGUCUCACUAUCUAUCUUUAUUUUCUAUGCAUUUUCUCUUGUGUUUGUGUUGAAUCUGUGUCUUGUUUCAUCUUGUGUCAUUGUUAUCAUCUUCAUCUCCUUUCUUUAGUUAUAGUUUCAGUUUCUAGCUUUGUUUUCCACAUCAGCUAAGCAUGAGGCGCUCAAGGUCAGGAAAAUUGUCAUCUGUCGCUUUCCAGUACUUGACAUCAUUAUCUUCAAUUAACAAAAGCUUCAAUCGUGUAAAUCCCUGAACAUUUGGAUGCCAUUCUUUGCCUUCACAAGCAUUAUACAUCAGCUUCAGCACCUCAAGGUUAGGUAACUCAGCUAUGAUGUCCAAGUAUGACCAAUCUAAAUAAGUUCUUUCCAACUUCAACUUCUUGAGCGUGGCUGGAAAAGCUUUUGCACUGGUCACUGACAAAAGGAGACAAGUACAUCCUAUAAAACUCAAUAUUUCAAGUUGCUGCAGAUAGAUAAGAUUGUUGAGAAGCGCUAAGUCCCAAAGAUUGUCUCCACUGAAUCCUAAUUUUUUAACAGUCUGAAUCCCCGAAAUAACCUCCUUUGUGCAACAACUGGAAGACAAGUAAGGAAUAGUUUGUAUGUUUGGAAACCCCAUGUGACUGCCUUUGUCAACACAUACGGUUGGGCGAUUUGGCAGAUAAAUUAUGCCCGCUUUGAGAUGCCGUAAUUGCUUUAGUCCCCAAAUUUCCUCAGGAAAAGUUGUUUUAACUGAUCCACUAGGUCCUUGAACGAUGAAUGUCUGCAGAUUCCAUAACCUACAAAUUUCUGGAGGUAUGUCUAAAUUCUCACGGCAGCUCAAUGAUAGGUACCUCAACCAGAUGAGGCUUAGUAUCUGUACAGGGAAAACUCGAAAAAUCACGCUGUCUCUCAAAUCCAUGACUUUGAGUAAUUUGGAAGGAGUAAGCCAUGAUUGGCGAAUAAAAAUUGGAAAAUAACGACAAGAAAUACUAACAGGUUCUGAACAAACAUUUCCCCUUUGAACUUCUCUCAAGCACAGGUCAUAUAUUAGAUCCUGAACCUUACAUGAUCUAAUUUUUUAUUAUUAUUAUUAUUGACAAUAUUUUAUUAAAAUAUUUUACUAAUAACGUUAUUAACAAUAUUUUAAUAAUAUUAUUUGAACCUUUAAUUGCUUCUAUCAAUAUACCACUACUACUACGACUAAUUAUUAUUAUUAUUAUUAUUAUUAUUAUUAUUAUUAUUANNNNNNNNNNNNNNNNNNNNNNNNNNNNNNNNNNNNNNNNNNAAUAUUUUAAUAAAAUUUUCAUCUUAACAACGUUUUAUUAACGUUAAUUUAAUAUACUUCUAUUACUGCCCUUAAUAACGUUUUAUUAAUAACGUUUUAAUAACGUUAAUUUAAUAUAUUACUACCACUAUCCUUAAUAAUGUUUUAUUAAUAACGUUUUAGUAACGUUAAUUUAAUAAUAUUUUAAUAACGUUAAUUUAAUAACUUUAAUUUAAUAACGUUUUAUUAAAACUAUAAUUUUUUUAUUUAUUAUUAGUAUAGUUUCACCUUUGAGAUGAAAAUAAUGAGAAAAUAAUAGUGAAAAGUCACUUAAAUAUAUAAAAAGUAAUUAUUAAGGGCAUAAUAGUCAUUUUACCCUUUUUUUACGGUUGGAACGCUCAAAUUUUUAGCCUGACGUGCCUAGUUUUGCGUGCACAACACGCGUUUCACAUAGGAUCAGAGAUCAUAUUUGUAAAGUUUAGAAUAGUUAAAGGUCAUAUUUGUGCACUAUCAAAGUUUAAUAUCAAAGUUAUAAUUUGGUCGGGUCAUAUUUAUGUACUAUGCCUUUCUAAAUUAGUUCCGAUCUUGUAAGUAGGUGAUGAUAUAAUAUACAGGUUUCCAUAUAUAUACUUAUGUGACUAACGAUGCCGGUAACAUGUUAUAAGUGAGUUCUUCAAGCAUUCUUUUCUUUUCCUUGUCACGCCCAACCAUAUUGUUCGAAACUUCCAGAUUAGAUAAUUUUUCCAAGCUCCUAUCUCGUGCCAAGGACCAUGUCGAUGCUUGUCUACCUUUAUUAUCUUGAAUCUUUUUCGACUCUUCUUGGGCACGGUCAAUGUCCUUCGCUACUUGUUGCAAUAUCUUUUAUCUGCUCAUCCAAAUCUGUCAUUGCCCCAUAACUACUGAUUUGUUUCUCGGAGUUCUUGAGAAAUGCUUCUAUAUAAGUCACUUUCUUAUGAAGAGCUACAAUGUCUUCUCUGUGAUAAAAAGCAACUGAUAUUAUUGGCGAAUCAGACGUCAACAGCAGUUCCAUUGUUCUUAUAAGAGAUGCUAUACUCGCGUAGGCCAUCGAUUCUCCUGCUUCCAAAAUGCGAUAACGACUUGAAAGCUGCAAGUUAUACGAGCCCGAUAGUGUUAAAAUAACAUGAUUCACAAAGUUGCAAAAACAGUGAGGUAAGAAAUUAAGAAAUCAGGCAACUUCAGUCUGCACUCUUCACUAUCGUAUCUGUUACAGACUUUAUGUCUACUUCAUAUUCAUGUCUGCAUCACCUAAUUCACUACACUUGAUUCGACACUUCAGAAAUAUGAAGAACCAACUUCAUCGGUCCAAGAAAACGUUGCACAGAUAGUGGAAGAGGAGCUGUAUGAUGUUCAUAGGUCUCUAUUAGCCAGUUGCGAGGGCCAAUACGACAAGGACUUGGUUGAAUGAUAGAUGGCCAAAAAAAAGAGGCUGAUACCAAACUCCUCAAGAACACAACAACACAAACACCAAAAUCAGUCCACUAGUUCAAGAACUAUGGACCCUUUUGAUGACCUCUCUCGGAUUCACAAGAAGAACAAGAAGGGAAGUGAUAUCAAGAGUAAAACACACUAAAACAGCAACAACACUUGAUGAACAAGAUGCAAUAACAACAACACACGGUUACAAGACAAGAACACAAAUGGAUUACAAAGAUAUAGACAAACGAUUACAAGAAAGUAAAGAUAGAUAGAUAGACAAAGGGAUGGUAUAAUAUAAACAACCCAAAAGCUUAUUCCACUUUUGGACCUUUAAUAUCACACACAACCUAAACCUAUCUCUUACGUGACCUCAAGGGAACCGGAAUUCCCAAGAAAUCUCCGUUUCUAAGCAAAUGAUCAACACAAGGAUUCCACCUUGUCCAAGGAUUCCACCUUGCUAAAGACUCUCAAAGAGGCUACAAAAUAUAUUCUCCAAAAAUCUCCCAAAAAUGACCUAAUGAGGUUCUAUUUAUACCUAGGUUAACUUAUUACAAAUGACUAAAAAACCCUUGCAAAGGUUGGAUGAAUAGUGAACGCGGAAGCAUUGUGAAACAGUUUUGGAGCUUGUGGGACUUGUUCUCUACACUUCAAAGCUUGUUCCUUGGAUGGGAAGCCCCUCGAGCUCGAGUCUUGACGCAUUGGACCCCGAUCAUGAUCAUACCCGUAUCAUCCUCCCCUCCUUAGAAAGGAUUGGUCCUCGAAUCUGAACCUUUCAAAGCAAUGGAAGGACAAGCAAACAAAAGUUCCGCAAGGUAUGAGGGUUAGGAUUAGUGUAAUCAAUCAUAGCAUCUUGCCAAGGUGGCUCAAACUUCACAUAUACCCAAACAUCCCUCUUACCCGAAUACCCUACCAAGGGAGAAUCAACUAAUUUAUCCACAUAAGUCUAACAAGAAACAAGAAACAAGAAACAAGAAACAAGCGUAGCUUAUCAAGUGAAAAACAUAGACACUUUUUGGAACAACAAUUAGACUUGAAAGCAGAGAGAGGAAAGCCAUACACUCCAUACACAUUCAAGUCAUUCCAAAAGACAUCCUUAUCACCACACUUCAAAUGAUCACCGGAAUCAAAUAGGUAGAGUGUCCAUGGGCACGGGUUGGGAAUACAUUUCCUUACCCCAAUACUACUAUAAUAAUGAUCAAAUGUCCCCUCUAUACUAUCAUGGUCAAUAACAAAAACAACUAGAGGGUCAUCCUUAGUCAUUCGGCCAACAUGUUCAACAUCAUAAUUUUUGCACAAAAGUUGGUCUUCAUGACAUCCAUAAGGCAAUGUACUACAACUUUCCACCAUGGCUUCAACACUAGGUGAAUCAACUAGUGUAUCCACAAUCUCAAGUUGUACAUUAUCAUCAGAAAAUGAAGGCACAUUCGGCUCACUUAAAGACAAAUUAUCAUUCACACUUAGUUAACUAUUAUCCUCAUUCACUAGAGUGCAAAAGUUAGUUUGAUUACCUUGUAGCUCAUGUGGAGCAUGGCCACUCAUGGGAAUUGAUUAGGAAGGCUUGGAUGCUCCAUCAAGUUAUCCAACUUCUUGCACAGAGAGCCUUCCGUCUCUUCUAAUCUUUCUUCCAUUCUGUCCAUUAUUUACCUAUCUAUGGCAUCAAACCUUGCCAUGAUGGAUUUAACCCAACUAGGCAUUUCAUCUUCAUUCGCCACUGUACCCAUCAAGAGCUACUAAGCAAACAACACGAAAACAAUAAACACAUUAAAGAUUAGCAAAAAUCAGUCCACGAUUCGUCACAAAACAGUCCACAAUGUGUCUCAAAAUAGUCUACAAUCCCUAUGCAACACCCCGUAAAAGUCGUGCAUGGAUUAGCCUUUAAUAGAGUGUCCUUAGACUUGAAAAUUUUUCUAAGUGUAAUGAGGACUUAGAGUCAUUUUAGCUGGCAAUCUUCGGGAUACAACUUUUCAACCUUUCCGACAUCCGUUUUUAGAUUUUCAAGUUGCGUUAUGAUCGAGAAAGCUCAUAGUACAUCUCGGAUAAGUUUUGGAAUUUUUUGGAACGCAUAAGGCUGCCUUUGGAUUUCAAAACAGUAGCAAAACGCAUAGCCUAUUGCCCAGUUUUCAGCAUUUCAGGGUCAACUUCAAAUGAUCAUUAACUCCCUGUAUAUAAUGAACUGUGUGAGCUAUAAUAUAUCAAACGAAAGAUAUUUGAGUACUCUUUCAAAUUCAGUUGGUUUCAUCCAAUUUGAGUAUAUGAGUAUAAAGUUAUAAUCUAUUUACUCCAGCCUAUCAAACUGUCAACUGAGGGACAGAUUUGGCCUUAAUUGUUCCUUAGGGGUAUUUUGGUCAUCCUCCACCCCUAUAUAUACCACCAACACGGGAUUUAAUCCCUCAAACAACAUAAUACACAUGAUUUCCCCAAAAUUGCUCAAGAACUCUCCUUAGGAUUUCAAAAUAAAAACCCAAAUAGUUCAAGAUUUGGCCGUAGGUUUUCAGAGAUAAUUACAUAUUUGGAUUCAUCAAUCCGCAAGCUUCAAGAAACACCUAUUAUCCUUGGAAAUAGAGGUACGUGGGGUUAUCCAAAAAUCUCAUGGGUGUAUUCUUUAUGAACAUGCAUGCUUUUAAAUGGGGGUUUUCAAUCAAAUGCUAAUAUCUUNNNNNNNNNNNNNNNNNNNNNNNNNNNNNNNNNNNNNNNNNNNNNNNNNNNNNNNNNNNNNNNNNNNNNNNNNNNNNNNNNNNNNNNNNNNNNNNNNNNNNNNNNNNNNNNNNNNNNNNNNNNNNNNNNNNNNNNNNNNNNNNNNNNNNNNNNNNNNNNNNNNNNNNNNNNNNNNNNNNNNNNNNNNNNNNNNNNNNNNNNNNNNNNAUUGAAUAAGAUGAAAUUUGAAUGCAUUGAUUUUACAUGAGAAAGGGGGAUGCCCGAAUAAGGCGUUUGAGACACAAGUGGCUCAUCGCUGGAAGAACAUGUUUGCCAACACGGAAUAUCGGUACCAUACUUUGUGGUCUUGCGUACCUGAUAUUAUAUUAUCUCAAAUUAGGAUUAUGGUUAGGAGCCAUGCUUUGUGGUCUUGUAUACUACCAUAUUUGAUUUGGGUCGAGACACCAUGCUUUGUGGUCUUGUGUGUCUCUCCCUCACUUAUACUCUAAUCUUGGCGGCAACCGGGGUUUGACAGUUGGUGUAAAUUAUGUAGGGUAUUCCACCUAGCUCAGUUGCAUUUCAUUAUUGUUGAGAAAAAUUAUUGCAUUACACCCAUGUGCUUUCAAAUGAUUUGAUACGAAAUUGAUUUAUAAUGGCUCUCAACUAUAUAUUGUAAAAAUAUUAUGUUUUGUUUUGAUAUCUCUGCGUGCCAGUACUUUUGUGCUGACUCUCUCCCCUCUCCAACCUCUCAGGUUCAGAGGCCCAGUCUAGGGGUCAAGAGAAUCAGUAGAUCAUUCAGACAGAGUUGCAGAGACAAGUGGUGAGCCUUCUGUGUUUCAGAAGGUCUUAUGUCCUACAGUCCUUUUAUCUUAUAUUAGUUUUGGGUCUGCUGGGGGCCUUGGCCCAGUUUUCAGAUAGACAUUGUUUCACUCAUGUAGUAGAGAUUUCGCAGACGGUUUUAGAGAUUUUGAUUUAGAUUGUGGGGCACUAUUCCCCAUUUUCAUUUUCAUAUGAUUCCUGGCCAUGUUUCUGUUAUAUUUUGUUUUUCCGCAUUUCUUUGAUCAUAUGAAUUAGGUGCAUGAUUACUAGAUAGAUAGGGGUGUUUCAGGCCUCAAUGGUUCGAAAUCCUUGUCACGGCCAGGCCCUGGUUUGGGUCAUGACACCCUCUCUUUCACACUUUGGAUUUUUCACUCUAUUGGUCUUACAAGUGUUGAUAACUCGCUUAUACUCCAAUGAGGUUACUUGAUCCCAAUUGUGGCUCGAGUUUCGAGUAGAUUCUUGUUUGAAACGACUCAAAUAAGUAAUGUACGAACUUGAACCAAAAAAGAUACUAUGACUCUAAAAAGAGAAAAGCACACAACAAACAACGUUAACACGAAGAACGUACACAAAACUAACUUACAAUCUAGUAUGGUAUUACUAGGUUGUCAAUUAGUGUCGAGCAAACAAACAAAACUAGGAAACAAUAAAAUGAAACUAAGAAAUAUAAAAUUUAAACUCAAAAAUAUUGCGUGAAUAGUACUUUAGUGAUGUGGCAGUCCACUAUUGGCCUCGAGUCUUAUCAAAAUUUUAUUUUCCAAUUUCAAGUCUUAAUCAAUAUAAAAUUUGGAAUUGGUGGAUUUGGUUAAUGGAGAGAAAAGUGGUCUUGGAACCUUUUUGUACAAAUUUCAAAAGCAAAACUUGACUUUUUUGAACUUUCUCCUUGAAACAAGGUCCUUAAAUCAAGGAAACGUAGAUGAAAAGUCUUUGAAGUGAUAGGGACAAGUCAUUCACUAUCAACUACUACAAGAUUGUCUUUCACCUUUUUAGAUCUAGUUUGUACUUUAAGGAUUAACAAGAUGAUGAAAGGGUGAAGAACCUUAAGAAAACAACAACAACUCCAAGAACAACAACAAUUUCAGUUUGCAACUCCACUACAACAAAACCAUCAAAUCAGACAACGUUUAGCUAACAACAACAUCCAACUCGGCCACUCCUUGUUCACAUCAACAACUUUAACAAGUUCAAGUUCAAUCAUAGAUUUGGACACUUUUUAGUGUUGAUGAGAAGGAGACCAACACUAGAAACACUCUAAAAAAAUAAAAGACUACAAGUUCUAGACACACAACAAACAAAUCUUGGCCAAGAUAACAACAACAUAAUUUUUGGCCAAGAACACAAAAUGGACAGAUUUGCACUUUGAAAUUUCUUUUCAGUUUUUAGCUUCUUUUUUUUUUUGAAUUUUGUCCAAGAGAACCCAAGAUUGGUAGUGUAGGAACAGAACCAGCCUUGCUUUGAUACCAAAUGAUAUCAAACUCCACAAGAAUAUGACAACACAAACACCAAAAUCAGUCCACUAGUUCAAGAACUAUGGACCCUUUUGAUGACCUCUCUCGGAUUCGCAAGAAGAACAAGAAGGGAAGUGAUAUCAAGAGUAAAACACACUAAAACAGCAACAACACUUGAUGAACAAGAUGCAAUAACAAAAACACACGGUUACAAGACAAGAACACAAACGGAUUACAUAGAUAUAGACAAACGAUUACAAGAAAGUAAAGAUAGAUAGAUAGACAAAGGAAUGGUAUAAUAUUAACAACCCAAAAUCUUAUUCCACUUUUGGACCUUUAAUAUCACACACAACCUAAACCAAUCUCUUACGUGACCUCAAGAGAACCAGAAUUCCCAAGAAAUCUCCAUUUCUAAAAAAAUGAUCAACACAAGGAUUCCACCUUGUCCAAGGAUUCCACCUUGCUAAAGACUCUCAAAGAUGCUACAAAAUAUAUUCUCCAAAAAUCUCCCAAAAAUGACCUAAUGAGGUUCUGAUACGAGUACGAUCACGAUAAUGGAAACUUUUUGAGUAUUUUGAAGACCACCUAAAGAGUGAACAAGUAUAAGUGUGAACGAGGCCCAAAACCAUCCCAAGCAUACUCCAUGGGCUAUUUUUGGAGCCCUUUUUAAUAAAGGGCCUUUUAGUCUUUUGUCCUUUAUUUUGUAAUAUAAUAUAAAUUGAACAUUAUAGGGUUUUAGUUGGUAGUUUUUAUGAAUGUUGAAGAAAGAAUACUCCUCUUAAAGAGAGAGAGUCCACAACCGAAACUAGGGCAUAGCAUAAGGGUGAAUUCUCUUGUGUGUUGCAUUUUUCUUGAUACGUUGGUGCUUGGGUAGUGGACGCCUAUUUUAAGUCAAUUGUAAGAGUUAGGUGUUUUUUGUGUGAAGUGUUAAAGUUCCAAGAGUAGAAUAUGCUCUUGGGUUGUUAAGACUACAUCAACACUUGUCUAACUAGCUAUCUUAUAUCUUGUUUUAGUUUCAGCUUCUUGUGUUGUUAAUGUAACCCAUUUGUUCUUGUUGCUAUUGUAAUAUUGUGGAGCUUCAUCUUGUGUUGCUAAACUUGCUGUUGGCUGGCUGUUUUGGUGUAUUAACACCUUGUAUCUUCUUCCUUAUUGUUCUAGAUAGUGAAUCCGAGAGAGGUCCCCAUUUGGUCCAUGAUUUGUUGUGAUUUGUGGACUGUUUUGGGGUGUGAUUUCAUGUUCCCUUGUUUGUUUAGUAUCAUUUGGUAUCAAAGAAAGGCUGGUUUUUGUUUCCACAAAGCCAAUCUUGGGUUUGAUUAUUUAAAAAAAAUUAAUAAAAACUGAAAAAUUCCAGAAAAUAGCAAUCGUCCAUUUUAGUGUUCUUGGUAAAAAAUUGUAUUGUGUUGUUGUCUUGGCCGAGAUUUUCUUAUUUUUCUUGACUAGAUCUUGCAGUUCUUUUGUUAUUCUAGUGUGUUUCUAGUGUUGGUUCUUUCUCACAAACACUAAAAGUGUCUAGAUCUAAAGGUUGAGCUUAUAAUAUUAACAUUGUUGUUGUGAACUUGAAGUGGCCAUGUGUUGAUCCUUAUUAUUGAAGGUUGGUGUUGUUGUUGUUGAGUUCUUGAGCUUCAAAUUGUGUUAUUAUUGUGAAUUGGUGGCUUAAAAACCUCUUGUUGAAGUUGUUGUUGAAAGAUGGAACUUGACAAAGUGUUGAUUGAAAUGUAAGACCAACUUGAACCUUAGACUCCAAGAUUCAAAAGUUUGUGUUCUUGGUGUUCUUCACCAAUCAUCAUCUUUUAUUGAAAAAAAAAGUGGAUGUUAGAUCUAAGAGGGUGAAGGAAGGAGGUGUAGUAUUUGUUAGUCAUCAAAGACUUUUACCACUACUUCCAACCACUCAAAGACUUCAGAACCAUUUUCCAACCAACUUCCACGUUUUGAGGGCCUUAUUUUAAGGGAAAAUACUACAAAAGUCCAAGUCUUCAAACUUGAGUUGAAAAAGAGUUCCAAGACUUAUUCUUUCCCUCCUUACAUAAUACCACCAAUCCAGAUCAAAAAUUGGUCAAGACUUGAACCUUGGACAAUAAAACUUGAUAAAAUCGUGACCAAUUGAGGGUUGCCACGUCAUCACAUAUUAGUGUUCACCAACAAUUUUUAAGCUCAAAUUUUAGAUUUCUUAGUUUUAUUUUAUUGUUUCUUUAGUUUCGUUUGUUGAUUCCAUUACUAACUUACAAGCUAGUACUAGAAUGUAAGUUAGUUUUGAAAUCGUUCUUCGUGUAUACGUUCCUUUGUGUGUCUUAUUCUCUUGACUCGUUGUAAUACUUGGUCCACCUCUCAAUGCCUCAUGGAGUACAAGAAAAGUUAUGAAACUUGUGAGAUCAAAGUGUGAAAAAUCCAACAGACAAAACAAUAGAGAGGGAGUGUGAGGAUCAUUCUUUUACAACUAACUUGUUCGUUGUUUUGUAGGUAACUUUUGGCCAUAAUGGAAACCAUUUUUGCCCUCCUUGAUGCUUUGUCCCGAGAUCUUUCUAUGGCAAAUGUGGGUCUUGAAAAAAUUGACUCGGAUAUGGUAACUAUGAGUGAGAGAUUGGAUCAAAUGGUAAGUCGAUGGAACUCUCAUGAUUUUACUCCCGAAACUUUACUUCCAAUGACCAAUUCUCUAAGACCACCACAUAAUGCCACAAUCCAAGCUCCAAAUAGCCCUCAAAACCGAGAAUAAGAUAGACCACUUCCCCCACAAGUUGAUCUAGUCCGACAAGGAGGACCUGGAAGCAAAUUUUCUCCCAUCCAAACUCCACAACCGAAACCCCACUUAACCAAAGCAAGCUUCUUAACCGAAGCUCCACUACACCAAACCCGACAUAUCCAUAUAGAGAAGAAUGGUAGAAAGGAACAUGAAGGAUAUGGGGUCUUCGACAAUGCUUAUAUGAUGGUAGGAGACUUGUUUUGCAUGAGAUUAAAGACAAGGCUCAAGAUGGAGAGGAAGCCGAUGUUCAAAAUAAAGAUGUUAGCCAAGACUUAUUCUCAUUGUAUCCUCGGGUUCCCUUUGUUUUGUUUUGCGGACUGUUUUGGGUAGUUUCUUUUGGAGGGCCAAUUGCACGAGGUAAAGCCAUGAAUUUGUGGUCAAAUUCCUCUCAAGAUGGAGAGUAUGAUACAAGUACAAUCACGAUCAUGGACACUUUUUGAGUAUUUUGAAGACCACCUAAAGAGUGCACAAGUAUAAUUGUGAAGGAGGCCCAAAACCGUCCCAAACACACUCCAUGGGCUGUUUUUGGAGCCCUUUUCAUUAAAGGGUCUUUUAGUCUUUUUUCUUUUAUUUUGUAAUAUAAUAUAAAUUGAACAUUAUAGGAUUUUAGUUGGUAGAUUUUAUGAAUGUUGAAGAAAGAACACUCCUUUUAGAGAAAGAGAGUCCACAACCAAAACUAGGGCAUAGCAUAAGGGUGGAUUCUCUUGUGUGUUGCAUUUUUCUUGAUACGUUGGUGCUUGGGUAGUGGACGCCUCUUUUAUUUCAGUUGAAAGAGUUAGGUAUUUUUUGUGUGAAGUGUUAAAGUUUCAAGAGUAUAAUAUGCUCUUAGGUUGUUAAGACUACAUCAACACUUGUCUAACUAUCUAUCUUGUAUCCUGUUUUAGUUUCAGCUUCUUGUAUUGUUAAUGUAAUCCAUUAGUUCUUGUUGCUAUUCUAAUAUUGUGGAGCUUCAUCUUGUAUUGCUAAACUUGUUGUUGGUUGGCUGUUUUGGUGUAUUAACACCUUGUAUCUUCUUCCUUAUUGUUCUAGAUAGUGAAUCCGAGAGAGGUCCCCAUUUGGUCCACGAUUUGUUGUGAUUUGUGGACUGUUUUGGGGUGUGAUUUCAUGUUCCCUUGUUUGUUCUGUAUCAUUUGGUAUCAAAUCAAGGAUGGUUUUUGUUUCCACAAAUCCAAUCUUGGGUUUGAUUAUUUAAAAAAAUUUAAUAAAAACUGAAAAAUUCCAGAAAAUAGCAAUCAUCCAUUUUUGUGUUCUUGGUCAAAAAUUGUGUUGUGUUGUUGUCUUGGCCGAGAUUUUCUUAUUUUUAUUGUCUAGAUCUUGUAGUUCUUUUGUUAUUCUAGUGUGUUUCUAGUGUUAGUUCUUUCUCACCAACACUAAAAGUGUCUAGAUCUAAAGGUUGAGCUUAUAAUAUUGACAUUGUUUUUGUGAACUUGAAGUGGCUAUGUGUUGAUCCUUAUUAUUGAAGGUUGGUGUUGUUGUUGUUGAGUUCUUGAUCUUGAACUUGUGUUAUUAUUUUGAAUUGGUGGCUUAAGAACCUCUUGUUGAAGUUGUUGUUGAAAGGUGGAACUUGACAAAGUGUUGAUUGAAAUGUAAGACCAACUUGAACCUUAGACUCCAAGAUUCAAAAGUUUGUGUUCUUGGUGUUCUUCACCAAUCUUCAUCUUUUAUUGAAAGAAAAAAGUGGAUGUUAGAUCUAAGAGGGUGAAGGAAGGAGGUGUAGUAUUUGUUAGUCAUCAAUGACUUUUACCACUACUUCCAACCACUCAAAGACUUCACAACCAUUUUCCAACUAACUUCCAUGUUUUGAGGGCCUUGUUUUAAGGGAAAAUACUACAAAAGUCCAAGUCUUCAAACUUGAGUUGAAAAAGAGUUCCAAGACUUAUUCUUUCCCUCCUUAAACAAUUCCACCAAUCCAGAUCAAAAAUUGGUCAAGACUUGAACCUUGGACAAUAAAACUUGACAAAAUCGUGACCAAUUGAGGGUUGCCACGUCAUCACAUUUUUAGUGUUCACCAACAAUUUUUAAGUUCAAAUUUUAGAUUUCUUAGUUUUAUUUUAUUGUUUCUUUAGUUUCGUUUGUUGAUUCCAUUACUAACUUACAAGAUAGUACUAGAAUGUAAGUUAGUUUUGAAAUCGUUCUUCGUGUAUACAUUCCUUUGUGCGUCUUAUUCUCUUGAAUCGUUGUAAUACUUGGUCCACCUCUCAAGGCCUCAUGGAGUACAAGCAAGGUUAUGAAACUUGUGAGAUCAAAGUGUGAAAAAUCCGACAGACAAAACAAUAGAGAGGGAGUGUGAGGAUCAUUCUUGUACAACUAACUUGUUUGUUGUUUUGUAGGUAACUUUUGGCGAUAAUGGAAACCAUUUUUGCCCUCCUUGAUGCUUUGUCCCGAGAUCUUUCUAUGGCAAAUGUGGGUCUUGAAAAAAUUGACUCGGAUAUGGUAACUAUGAGUGAGAGAUUGGAUCGAAUGGUUAGUCGAAGGAACUCUCAUGAUUUUACUCCCGAAACUUUACUUCCAGUGACCAAUUCUCUAAGACCACCACAUAAUGCCACAAUCCAAGCUCCAAAUAGCCCUCAAAACCGAGAAUAAGAUAGACCACUUCCCCCGCAAGUUGAUCAAGUCCAACAAGGAGGACUUGGAAGCAAAUUUCCUCCCAUCCAAACUCCACAACCGAAACCCCACUUAACCAAAGCAAGCCUCUUAACCGAAGCUCCACUACACCAAACAUGAGAUGUCCAUAUAAAGAAGAAUGGUAGAAAGGAACAUGAAGGAUAUGGGGUCUACAAAAAUGCUUAUAUGAUGGUAGGAGACUUGUUUUGGAUAAGGUUAAAGACAAGGCUCAAGAUGGAGAGGAAGCCGAUGUUCAAAAUGAAGAUGUUAGCCAAGACUUGUUCUCAUUGUAUCCUCGGGUUCCCUUUGUUUUGUUUUGCGGACUGUUUUGGGUGGUUUCUUUUGGAAUGCCAAUUGCACGAGGUGAAUGCAUGAAUUUGUGGUCAAAUUCCUAUCAAGAUGGAGAGGAUGAUACAAGUACGAUCAUGCUCAUGGACACUUUUUGAGUAUUUUGAAGAACACCUAAAGAGUGCACAAGUACAAGUGUGAAGGAGGCCCAAAACCGUCCCAAACAUACUCCAUGAGCUAUUUUUGGAGCCCUUUUCAUUAAAGGGUCUUUUAGUCUUUUGUCUGUUGUUUUGUAAUAUAAUAUAAAUUGAACAUUAUAGGAUUUUAGUUGGUAGUUUUUAUGAAUGUUGAAGAAAGAACACUCCUCUUAGAGAGAGAGAGUCCACAACCGAAACUAGGGCAUAGCAUAAGAGUAGAUUCUCUUAUGUGUUGCAUUUUGCUUGAUUCGUUGGUGCUUGGGUGGUGGACGCCUCUCUUGUGUCAAUUGUAAAAGUUAGCUGUAUGUUGUGUGAAGUGUUAAAGGUCCAAGAGUAGAAUAUGCUCUUGGGUUGUUACGACUACAUCAACACUUGUCUAACUGUCUAUUUUGUAUCUUCUUUUAGUUUCGGCUUCUUGUGUUGUUAAUGUAACCCAUUUGUUCUUGUUGCUAUUGUAAUAUUGUGGAGCUUCAUCUUGUGUUGGUAAACUUGUUGUUGGCUGGCUGUUUUGGUGUAUUAACACCUUGUAUCUUCUUCUUUCUUGUUCUAGAUAAUGAAUCCGAGAGAGGUCCCAUUUGAUCUACGAUUUUUGUGAUUUGUGGACAAUUUUGGGGUGUGAUUUCGUGUUCCCUUGUUUGUUUUGUAUCAGUUUCUAUUUAUAACUAGGUUAACUUAUUACAAAUGACUAAAAAACUCUUGCAAAGGGCGGAUGAACAGUGAACGCGGAUGAACAGUGAAACAGUUUUGGAGCUUGUAGGACUUGUUUCUACACUUCAAAGCUUGUUCCUUGGAUGGGCAGCCCUCCGAGCUCAAGUCUUGACGCAUUGGACCCCGAUCAUUGAUCUUACCCGUAUCAUAGGCACAGAAGUGGACAAAGUCGAGGAGAACUCCUGGCAUUCUAUGAGUGGAUAGAUCGCAUACGCUGGACAGCCCUAGUGUCCAGUCUAGCUUGCACACACCUCGACUAAUUCCACUAAGUUCCUUCAACCUCCCACGAACGCGGGUACCAGAUAACUCUGUCCCCGAAGGCUUUGACAUAUAGGAAGAAAUCUCCUAGUGUUUUUUGCCUCUCACUUGGAUUUAGAACUAUACCUCAUGGUUCUCGACUCAUUUCAUUGACCACUGGGCCAUACCCUCGUAUGGGUGCCAAUGUUAUUUCGAUGGACUUAGAUUGAUGUGAGAGACCAGGAUGUUACAAUUGGAGCUGUUGACACUAACAGGUACUGCAUAUUUUUAAUGGAUCCGAGCAACAUAGGUUAUAAAAGAAGUGAAUCUAUAAGUACCAACCGGUACUACAAUAAAUACUUUCAAGGAGAAAAAUAUACUAAAUACACAUGAAUAUAAGUUUCAAACAACAAAUUAAUGAAGAAAGGGCAGGCCAGAGAACUAAAGCUACCGCUAUGCGCGGUGUCCGGGGAAGGGCCCCACCACAAGGGUGUAUCGUAUGCCGCCUUACCUUGCAUUUCUGCCAGAGGCUGUUUCCAAGGCUAGAAGCCGUGACAUGACAACAACUUUACCUGUUAUUCCAAGGCUCCCCUUCCAUGAAACAUAAAAGAAAUAACAAAUAAGUUCUAUUUAUGAUAAUAUAGAAUGGAAAAAAAGAGUUGACUUUAAAGAAAUGGGAUGACAACUCCAAUAAGUUGACCUUGGAUUUGUGUCUAUCAAGGAAAAUAUAAUAUUAUAACACCUGUUUUUUAACCUCUCCCCCUUGUAUUUUACCACAUAGUUACUGCCACAGGUAGAAAGCAUCUCGAGAGAAUCAUACAGGAAUAUAUGUAGAGGGAUCCUUUAACAAAUAUUAAACCAAUUAAACUAAAUCAUCAUCCAGUUCCCACAAUAAAAAUUGUUUCAUGAAGGAUAAAAAGUACACCACAACUUAGAAGACAUUACAACAUAAAUUCAUCGAAUCAAACUCCCAUAUUGGAUAGAAACCGAUUGAAUACUCUUGUUGCUCGUCCUCUCCUUGUCUUCUUUUUUCCAAAAGCUGCUCGAAGAAUCCAGGAUACUUAGUCGAGAUCAAGCCUUCUCACUCUAGCGUCUUGCUAUAACAAAGAAAUAUAAAUUAGAAAUAUAAAAUCUCCCAUUUACAAUCAAAUCAUGUCAAUUAAAGCAUAGAAAUAUCAAGAGGAAUUGUUUAAGUAUACAUUUUUACAUUAGUGAUAUAUAUGUUAGAGGAAUUGUUACAAAGAAAUCAACAAACUAGAAAAUAAAAUUGCAAAGAGAACACCUCGAAAUGUUAGUUCAUAUUAAAUUUUCUUUUUCACAAUUCAAUAAAAUUUACUCCACUAUAUCAAAAAUAAAUGUUAAUAAUACUUGUCCAUUUUGAAACCGAUGGAUAAUUUACCCAUUUUACCCUUAGCAUUAAAUACGAUUCAUUAUCCAAUGUGUUUUUCAAAGCAUUAGAUUUAGUAGAUUCAAAGGGUAAUAUGGUAAAACUAGCCCUAUCAUUUACUAUUUCUUAGUGGACAACUAUUGAUAGACGAAGGUAGUAACAAUUAGACCAAAUGUGCUCACAUUUAGAAAGCUUAAACUAAAGUACCAAAAUUGCUCAAAAAUAUAUUAAAGGGGACAUUUUGAACUUCCUUCAAAUAUAAGAGAUAUUCUUGUUAAUUUCUGUUACAUUUUAAGUAGAGUAUUAACCAAAUUUUGUCAAGGUUAUUUUUGUGUAAGAAUAUGGGGUAAAGCUAAAUAACUUUUGCGUAUGACUUGACUUGUGGAAAUGAGAAACAGAGUGUGACCCAGAUAAAUACUAUAUACUUACGUGGAUUGGAGAUACGAACAUCCACGGGGUUGUUUCCAAUGUCUUCUUGUUCUUGUUGAAUUCGUGCAGCAGAUUCCCCAAGUUCGGGAAGAUAACUUGUUAACUCAAUCAGUUGUAGUGUGUGUAUUUCUGCAAACUCAACGGGUAUCUCUUUUAAAUUAUGGCAUUUGUUAAGCACAAGGCGCUCAAGGAUAGGAAAAUUGUCAUUUGUGGCUUUCCAGUGUUAGCCCAUAUGUUAUUGGGCCUUUAGUUUAUGGACCUUUAGGUUAUUGGCUAUGUAUAUAUAUAGCCUACUUUUGUUUUAGUUAUUUUUCAUGCUUUUCAGAUUAUAUUGUAAACCUUAGCCUUUCUUUCUUUCAAUAAAGUUCUAUUAACAUGGUAUCAGAGCUAGUUUGAUCCAUGUCCUUUGAUUUGUUGGUUGAAGAUUUUGUAGCAGGCACCUACUGCGCGGAUCGAACUGUCAUUGUUCGUCUUUCGUUCUUUUGCUUGCUGCCAUUGUUGUUCGUUCGGAAUUGUUCAACCUAGGGUUUUGCAUCUUUUUGUUUUUUUGAAUUGUUUGUGUGUUGCUGUGUUUACAAUGACUGGAAAGGAUGAUUCUCUCCAGUCCAUUAGUACUCAAUUAGAUGGUAAGAACUAUGCCUAUUGGAGUUAUGUCAUGAAGAAUUUUCUUCGUGGGAAGAAUAUGUGGGGUUAUAUCACUGGAGUAAAACUAAGACCUAUCGAUGAUAAAACUGAAAAUUUUGAUUUGUUGGUGGACUUAUGGGAAACUAAUAACUCCAAGAUUAUCACUUGGAUCAACAAUUCUGUAACUCAGUCAAUUGGUAUGCAAUUGGCUAAGUAUGACACAGCAAAGGAGGUCUGGGAUCAUUUGGAAAGACUGUACACUCAGUCUAAUUUUGCUAAGCAGUACCAGUUGGAGUAUGAUAUCCGUGCUCUUCAACAGCAUGAUCUCAGUAUUCAAGAUUUUUAUGCUGCCAUGUCGGAUUUGUGGGAUCAAUUGGCACUUACUGAAUCUGCAGAGUUAAAAGGUUUUGGGCCGUACAUUGCUAGACGGGAAGAGCAACGCUUGGUUCAGUUUUUGAUGGCACUACGUUCUGACUUUGAGGGCCUACGUGGAACAAUCCUUCAUCGAUCUCCCCUCCCUACUGUUGAUUCUGUGGUUCAUGAACUGAUUGCAGAGGAGACUCGUAUCAAGUCUCAAGUGGAUAAAGGGUCUAAAGUAACUACUACUCCUGUCGUGUUUGCUGCUUCAACUGAUCAGUCUAGGCCACCACGUACUCAGACUCGACAAUCUCCUAAAGUUGCAUUUGAUGAGUGUGCAUUCUGCAAACAGAAAAAUCAUUGGAAGGCUCAGUGUCCGUUGUUACUUAACAAGGUCAAACAGCCUCAAUCUGGGCAGCAACAGAAAUAUGGGCAGCAAAAGUCUCCGUCACGCUCCUCUGGUGCUCCUCCAUGGUCAUCUCGUCCUCCACAGUUCGCUGCUGCUGCACCAUCUGUAGAUGUUGAGUCUGUUAGCACUAUGCCACCUUCUGCGUUGGAUCCCCAGGUUUUCGAACAGUUCAGACAGUUCUUCGUUUCUAAUCCUACGGCCAUGUCAGCAUCUAUGUCUCAUUCGGGUUCAGUUUCUUCUAGUACCUCAGGUAUUCCUUCCUCCUUGUGGAUAUUGGAUUCUGGUGCGUCUCAUCACAUGUCCCCUCAUUUGUCAUCGUUUGGUUCUUUGUCACCCAUUUCACCAAUCUCUGUUAUGUCCGCGAGUGCUGUACCUAUGUCAGUCGAGGGUGUUGGUUCUGUUACUACCCCUCACAUUGUCCUCUCUGAUGUUUAUUACAUUCCCAAACUUGCUUUAAAUCUUGUUUCGGUCAGUCAGUUGUGUAAGGCUGGUAAUUGGGUGUUUUUUUCUGAUUCUGUUUGUGUUAUACAGGACCAACACACUCAGAGGGUGAUUGGGACCGGCCGUAGGUUGGGGGAACUCUAUGUCUUGGAGAAUCUCAAAGUGUCUGUAGUUGCUGCCUCUAGCAUAGAUUUAUCUUCUUUUCGUUUGAGUCCUUUGUCUUCUCAGUUUUAUCUUUGGCAUUCCAGAUUAGGACAUGUGUCAGUUUCACGUUUACGUUUUUUGGUCUCUAGUGGUGCUUUGGGUCAUGUGAACACUAGUGAUAUUUCAGAUUGUAGUGGUUGUAAACUGGCAAAAUUUUCUGCCUUACCGUUUAAUAAAAGUGUGUCUUAUUCUGUUGCUCCUUUUGAUAUUAUUCAUUCUGAUGUAUGGGGACCAGCGCCAGUAUCCACUAAGGGUGGAUCGACCUAUUAUGUUUCGUUUAUAGAUGACUAUACUCGUUAUACCUGGGUGUAUCUUAUGAAACGCAGAUCUGAUUUCUUUGGCAUUUACAACAACUUUAGAGCCCUUGUUAAAACACAACAUUCGGCUGUGAUAAAGUGUUUCAGGUGUGACUUAGGGGGUGAAUAUACCUCUAAUGACUUCACUCAGUUACUUGCCUCUGAUGGUACCAUACACCAGUCAUCUUGUACCGACACUCCUGAGCAGAACGGUCUGGCAGAAAGAAAACAUCGUCAUAUUGUUGAGACAGCACGCUCUUUACUUUUGUCUGCAGAGGUUCCUAGUAUUUUUUGGGGAGAAGCAGUUCUAACUGCUGUAUAUGUGAUUAAUCGUAUUCCUACUGCAUUGACUUCAGGGAUGUCUCCGUUUGAGAAACUAUAUGGUCACCCGCCGAAUUAUUCUGCAUUACGAGUUUUUGGAUGUACUUGCUUUGUUCUUCGUCCUCAUGUUGAACGAAAUAAGUUAGGGUCAAAAUCAGCUAUAUGUGUGUUUUUGGGGUAUGGUAUUGGACAAAAAGGAUAUCGUUGCUAUGAUCCUGUAAGUCAGAAAUUAUAUGUUUCACGACAUGUCACUUUUUUGGAACAUAUUCCUUUUUAUUCCAUUCCAGCUAAAACCCAUGAUGUGACAAAGUCAGAUAUUCGGCUUAUUGAUCCCUUUGGGAUUGACAUAGAGGUUCCAGUUCCGGAUUCAUCCAUGCCAUCUGGUGUGCCACCUGAUAGUGCUUCAGCCUCGCCUGUGCCUGAGUCUGCUCCUUCGACUGUUGAGACUGGAGACCCACCACCUCUGAGGAGGUCUACUCGACCUUGUAAGUCCACCAAACUGCCAGAUUUUUACUAUUCUACAUAUUCAGCCUCAUUUGCUUCCUUUAUUGCAAACAUACAUCAUUUGUCUGAACCUGAGUCGUAUAGAGAGGCUGUGUCUGAUCCUCUUUGGCAGAAUGCUAUGGCUGAGGAACUUGCUGCUCUUCAUCAUACACAUACAUGGGAUUUGGUUACUCUCCCACCUGGUAAGCAUGCGAUUGGUUGUCGAUGGGUGUAUAAGAUAAAAACAAAAUCUGAUGGGUCUGUUGAGCGAUACAAGGCAAGACUUGUGGCAAAAGGGUACUCACAAAAAUAUGGUAUGGAUUAUGAGGAGACUUUUUCCCCCGUAGCAAAGAUGACGACUGUUCGCACUAUGAUUGCUGUUGCAUCCGUUCGACAGUGGCAGAUAUUUCAGAUGGAUGUCAAGAAUGCUUUUCUGAAUGGUGAUCUCCACGAGGAAGUUUAUAUGACUCCUCCCCCAGGUAUUGACCACCAGCCAGGUGAAGUUUGUCGGCUUCGAAAAGCUUUAUACGGUCUCAAACAAGCCCCUCGUGCUUGGUUUGAGAAAUUCUCCACUGUUAUUACUUCCCUUGGAUUUGUCCCGAGUAACCAUGAUUCAGCAUUGUUUGUUAGAUGUACAAGUGCAGGGCGAAUUCUAUUGUCCUUAUAUGUAGAUGAUAUGAUUAAUACUGGUGAUGAUCAUAGUGGUAUUGAGUUAUUGAAGCAUGAUUUGGCUCAUCGAUUUGCAAUGAAGGACUUGGGCUUGCUGCGUUAUUUUCUGGGUAUUGAGGUGGCUCAGUCUAAGAAAGGGUAUCUUCUUUCUCAGACUAAGUAUAUAUCUGACUUGUUUACACGGGCGCGUCUUUCUGACAACAGGACUGUAGAUACUCCCCUUGAAACCAAUGCACGUUACUCUCCUAGUGUAAGACUCAUGUAGCUUAUAAGUGGAGUCUUUUGUAAAAUGUUGUGAUGAUGAAUGAAUGAAAAGCUACUGCUCAAACCUUCCUUUUUUCUACUCUUAAGCUCCAAAUUAUAACAGUGGUAUCAGAGCCGAUCUUCUUGAGGCAUCUGUGAAGGCUUAAAGAUAAGUUUUUUUCAGAUCUUCUAAAAAAAAGAGACCUGAACAGCAGCAUGGCAUCCAACAGCUUCUUGGGUGCAGGUCCUCUUACGUUUACAGGAUAAAAUUAUCGCAUAUGGGUCAUAAAGAUGAAGGCUUAUCUUAAAGCUCUUAGUCUAUGGGAAGCAGUUGAAAGUGAAAAUGAUCCCCCUCCAUUGGGACCAAAUCCAACUGUUGCACAAAUGAAGAAUUAUGAAGAUGCAAAGUCCAAGAAACCAAAGGCUCUUACUUGUCUUCAUUCAGCACUUUUAGAUGUGAUUUUCACAAAAAUAAUGGCUUGUGAAACACCUAAAGAAGUAUGGGAGAAGCUAAAUGAGGAGUUUGAUGGAAGUGAAAGAGUGAAAUCUGUCAAACUCUUAACUCUCAAAAAAGAAUUUGAGAUGUUAAGGAUGAAAGAAGGAGAUACCGUGAAGGAGUACUCUGCCAAACUUCUGAAAAUUGUAAAAAAAAUAAGAUUAUUUGGUGAAACUUUUCCAGAUUCAAAGGUGGUGGAGAAGAUGAUGAUAAUAUUACCAUCAAGGUUCGAGUCCAAUAUUUCAGCAAUAGAGGAAUCUUGUGAUUUGAAGACUUUGUCUGUCGCAGAGCUGAUUAGCAAAUUGCAAGCCCAAGAACAAAGAACAAGUAUAAGAGAUGAAGAAGUAGAAGAAAUGGCAUUUCAAGCAAAGCACAAAGACAAGCAACCUGUGAAGGACAAUAGGAGAAUGGAAGGAGAUAAAGCGGCAAAGAAAAAGUCAUGGACUAAAUCUUCACAGAAAGGAAAGUUUCCACCUUGCCUCCACUGUAAAAGAACCAAUCAUCAAGAAAAGGAUUGUUGGUUCAAAGGAAAGCCAUCAAUUCAGUGCAGAUUUUGUAGAAAAAUGGGUCAUAUUGAGAAGAAUUCAGGGCAAAGAAGAAUCAGCCACAACAACAUGUUCAUGUUCAGCAGGAAAAUUUCACUGAAGAGUCAGAAAAGGAAGAAAGCUUGUGACGCUCAUGAAGAAAAAAAAUUCAACCAAUCCAAAUGGUUCCUAGAUAGUGGGUGCACGAGUCACAUGUCAUAUAAUGAGCUUAUGUUUCACACACUUGACAAGUCACUUAAAGCUAAAGUUAGGAUGGAAAUGGUGCAACAUUAGAAGCACAUGGAAAGGGUUCAGUUUCCUUUCAAACUAAACAAGGUACAAAGCUUAUACAUAAUGUGUUGUAUGUUUAUUCUUUAGCAUGUAAGCUGUUGAGUGUUGGCCAAAUGAUGUCUAAAGGCUACUCCUUACUUUUUAAGGGAAAGCAUUGUUUGAUCUUUGAUAUUGAUGAUACUUUGAUUGACAAAGUAGAAAUGGUAGAUAGGAUCUUUCCAGUUGAUGGAAAGUUUGAUAGUGCCAAUUUUUGUAAAAUUAGAUGAUUCAUGGCUAUGGCACAGAAGAUAUGGGAAUUUUAACUAUGCUACUUUAAAAUCUAUGUAUGAGAAGGGCUUGACUAAGGAUUUACCUGAGAUCUUAGUUUCUAUAGAAGUAUGUGGGUCAUGUCAGAUAGGAAAGGUUCACAGGAAAUCAUUUCCUAAAAGUGCUUCAUGGAGGGUAACUGAAAAGCUUGAACUUAUUCACACUGUAUGUGGACCUAUGAAGACAUCAUCCCUGGGUCAAAAUAAAUAUUUUCAGUUUUUCAUUGAUGACUUCACAAGGAUGACUUAGGUGUAUUUUGUCAGUAACAAAUCUCAAGUAUUUUCAGUUUUCAAGAAGUUUAAAGCUUCCGCUGAAAGACAGAGUGGCUACAAACUGAAGGCUUUAAGGUCAGACAAUGGAGGUGAAUAUACUUCAAAUGAGUUCAACAAGUAUUGUGAAGAUGCAGGGAUUAAUCACAAGCUGACAGUAAGUUAUUCACCAGAACAAAAUAGAGUCUCGGAGAGGAAAAACAGGACGGUAGUUGAAAUGGCUAGAUAUUUGGUGCUUGAAAAGAAACUACCACAAAAUUUUUGGGCAAAAGUUGUUUCUACUUCAGUUUAUUUGUUGAAUAGGCUUCCAACCAAAGCUAUGGAUGGUAAAACUCCUAUUGAGGUAUGGAAUGGAAAAAGGUCAUCUGCCAAUCACGUAAAAAUCUUUGGUUCAAUAUGCUAUUCUCAUGUUCCUUCAGUGAGAAGAAGCAAGCUUGAACUGAAAGGUGAAUUGGGGAUCUUUAUUGGUUAUUCAUUGCAAGCCAAAGGUUAUAGAGUUUUCAACUUGCAAACAAAAGGCAUUUCCAUCAGAACAGAUGUAGUGGUGGAUGAGUAUGCUUAUUGGAACUAGGAUAAGAAGCAAGUUGAAAAAGAAAAUGCAGAUUAUUUGAACUUGAAUCCGCUGCCUGAAAUACAACCAUUUGGCUCUGAAAAUCUAGAAGAAGCUGAAGAAUCAAACGGUGAAUCCUCACUUGAUUCGCCAAUUGUGAAGACAAGGUCCUUUCUGAGAUAUAUGAAAGAUGCAAUGUUUCAAUCAUGGAACCCAAUAUCUAUCAAGAAGCAUCAAAACAUGAAUUUUGAAUUGAAGCCAUGAAGGAGGAGAUUGGUAUCAUAGAGAAGAAUGACACUUGAAAGCUGGUUGAUAAGCCCAAGACAGAAAUGUAAUAGGUGUGAAAUGGGUUUAUAGAACCAAAAUUAAUCUAGAUGGUUCAGUUAAUAAACACAAAGCAAGGCUUAUUGUGAAAGGUUAUGUGCAAGUUGCAAGUCUGGAUUAUGGAGACACAUUUGAACCUGUUGUAAGACAUGAUACGAUACGACUUCUAUUUACUUUGGCAGCUCAAUCAAAUUGGAAGUUGUACCAUCUGGAUGUGAAGUCGGCAUUCUUAAAUGGACCAUUGCAGGAACAAAUUUAUGUCGACCAACCGGAAGGCUUUCAAGUUGGAGGAAUGGAAGAUAAAUUUUACAGACUACAUAAGGCGUUGUAUGGAUUAAAAUAGGCUCCUCAAGCAUAGUACAGUAUGAUGAUGAUGAUGAAUGAAUGAAAAGCUACUGCUGAAACCUUCCUUUUUUCUUCUCUUAAGCUCCAAAUUAUAACAACAGAUGGGAAAAUUGUGUGAAAGGUGUAAUAUCUAAGUCAUUUCUUUUUUCACGAUGUUAUUUACCAGAGCAUCGUUAGCAUGAUGGACAGCUCACAGAUCAUGAACGAAUAGUGAAUAUUGUAUAAUUAAUGUAACUAUGUAUCGUUGUAUAUAAGUGUAAUUAUAGAUAUUUGAUUUGGUAACCAAAGAGAAUAAAUAUUGUGAUAGAAUAGCUGCGGAUUUAGAGGGAUAGAAUAGUUGAUCUUUAGGGAUAGGAAAGACGGAUCUUUAGGGAUGUAAUCUUUGAAUACUUUCUAUUUAACGACAAGACUCUCAAUAUUGAGAAUCAUUCAGCAAAAAAUUGGCAUAGUUCGUCGACAAUCAGUCCUUAACUCCUAGGACUUUUGAUCUCGAUCAUUCCGGUUUUUUUUUUCAGUCAUAGUAUUUCUAGUUUUCGCAGCUAUUCAAGAAUAUGUCUUCACAUCAAUUUGAAUCAUUCAGUGUUCGUUUCACUGGAAAAAAUUAUUCAUACAGGGAAUUGCGAUUUCAAUUAUUUGGUACCGGAUAAGAACUAUGGCGCCAUAUAGAUGGAAUCGAUCCCUAUCCCGCUGAUCCUAAAAAGUUAGGUGAAUGGAUGAUUAAAGAUGCUCGGGUGAUGACAAAUCUCUCCUUUUCCCCGUGAACCAUCUAUCUUUUUGAAAAAUUAAAAGAAAAAAGAGACCUUUAGUCUUUGUAUUUGUAUUUGUUUAUUUGAGAGAUCAGCAAAGUUGGGUCAGUGGACACUUUUAGGAUGUGAUAAUGACCACUAAUCUCCUUUUGAUAAAGUCGAAAGAAGUCAAGUGGGAACUUCAGUUUAUUCUUUGUGUUCUUUAUCAAAUGCAUCUUUAUGCAUAAUCGAAAACCUUUUGAUGAAAAUCUUGCAGAAAUAAGUGCAACUAUACUUGUCUAACAGCCGGGCUGGCCUGUUUACAGCGCGGCCCAAGACAGCACGUAGACCGGUAAGGAGGCCGGGCCAGUUAUGAUAAAAGGAAGGGGAUUGUGAAACAAGCCAUACAACUUGAGUUGAUUAGUUCAUACAUAAAACUAACUUGAGCUGAUUAGUGGACACUUUUAGGAUUUUGAGAAAUUAAGAGAUAUGGAUUAUGCUGCUAUUACUUGUCUUAAGAGAACCAUACACCAACCAAUGGAAUUGACAGCAUGUGAUUUCCAACCAUUCUACAAAAAGCUUGAAACUUUGAGAGCUAUUCUGGAGAAACCAUGGAAAGCAACAGAUGAUCUCGAGGCAUCAACAAGUUUGGAAGCUGAAAUCACUGAUAUAGCAUACACAGCAGAAGAUAUGGUUGACUCAGAAUCAAGAAAUGUUUUUUUAGCACAAAGGCCACCAUUAAAAAGUAAUGGCAUGAAUGAGCCGAUUUUGUAACGGCAAUGGCAUGAAUGAGCCAAACUCGUAACUGAUCGCAUAAAUGAGCCAUUUUUGAUAGUUCAAUGGCAUAUUUGAGCCCUUUCCCUAUAUUUCCCAAGAAACAUUGCUUUUCUCAAAGUUCUUGAGAAAUAAUUCCAGGGAGUUCUUGAGAAAUAAUUCCAGGGAGCUAUCAUUUUCUUGAAAAGCGAGAAAUUCUUCUCUGUGUUCACUAAUUAGAGAUUUCACUGGCGAAUUGGAUGUCACAACCAAUUCCGUUGUUCUGUUCAGAGAAGUCAUGCUUGCAUGAGUCAUAUCUUUACUCUCGUGUUCCUUGUGCAGUUUUUACCAGAAAACUGCGAGUUUCAAGAACUCAGCAGUAUUGCUACAUAUAAUACCAGUUUCAAAUUCUAUUAACUCAAAAAAUAAAACUAACAACACAAAGUAAUAACCAAAUCAAUAACUGAAACCAUAAUCAAGUACAUCACCAAGUCAUAAGGGCAUUUAUUAAGAGUUCAAGUUGGGAUGUGGCUAGAAAUAAUGGAAUCAGAACAAUAACAUAAAGACUCCUAGACACCACAAAACUAACAGGUUGUCUCAUCGUAUAAAAUAAUCAUCAAACUCGAUCCACGUGGUCUGCUACUACUGGAGUUGAAUUUGUAAAGUUACAUAAAAAGAGAAGGGAAGAAGGGAAUUAGUACAACAUAACCUGUAAGUCUCAUAGACCAUCACCUAAAGGCCGUGGCAAGGCUUUAUGCAUUACAGAAAAUUAAUGUGUGCCACAAAUCCUUGGAAGCCACACGUCGCUUAAAACUGAUAAUUUAGUGGUAAUUUGCGAUAGAGGAACCGAAAUGAAAUCCUAAGAGUUCAAUCCUUCUGGCCUUGAACUCCUUUCCUAAUGUUCUUCUGAAUCAGAAUAACUCUCCCCGACUGAGAAGAAACAAAAAGGGUCAGUAGAAGUUCGACAAGUCACAUUAUUCAGAUGCAGAUUUAGAACAUGUUCAAUCAAACUCACAUCUUUCAACUCAACGUCAUGUGAGCACACACAUACAUUUUUUGGAGAGCUAAAUUGCUUAUAUUACAUCUUAACUAACAAUUAUUUACUAAUUCAAAAAAUGAGCUGCAAAUAUUGAUGUAUAAUUUUAUAGACUCUAUAUAAUAUUAUUUACUCUAUAAUCUUUUUGACAAUAUUAUAUGUGUUUUUUAAAAAAAAAAAAUUAAUUUCUAUAUGGGAUAUAGACACAACACGCUUCAUAGAGACUAUAAAACCAAAGAUAUACAUUUACAUUUAUGAAUAAACAUCGUGUGACGAACUAGCAUCAACAGUCUAUAACAGUAUCAAAUUGUUAAUCCAUUGUUUCCCUUCUCAAUAUAGGUUAGAGUAAAGCAUCUAGUACCCUCCUAAACUAUGACCAAAUUUUCUACAACAUACUCCCACUUCAUGGGGUCUCUAUUACCCCCGAACAAAAUUUUAGCAUAUUUUCACCAACCUUUUUAGCUGAUGUGGCACAUUUGAUCUAACACAUCUGCAUAUUCUUCUUCAUCGUCAUCAUCUGUAUGAUGUGAGUUGUGGAAAUGAGAAACAGUGUGUAACCUUGACAAAUAUAUACUUACCUUGAUAAAAUUAAUACAAAGUAUUUCACUUAUUGAUAUUAAAUUAUUUCAUAAAAGAGUUGAAUCCAAGUAAACCUCAUUUUACUAGAAUUUACACAAUCUAUACCUUAAAUUUUGUGAGCAAGGACAACAAAGAGAGCAAACAUCUACUCUUCAUUUUUCAUUUUAUUUUUAUUGUAAUUUAAUGGCAGGGCUGGACAUUAGCCCAUUUGUUUGUUCAACCCAUCUUAAACCGCCCAACUUCAGCCCAAACAACCCAGCUGCCACCCCUAUGAGUAAAAAUUAGAUCAAAUGUGCUCAAAUUUAUCAAUCUUAAAUGAAAGUACCAAAACUACUCAAAAAUAUAUUUAAGGGGCCGUCUUGAACUACGCUCAAAUAUAAGGGAUAUUCUUGUUAAUUUCUCUUAUUUCUGUGAAAGAAUAUGGGGCAAAGCUAAAUAACUUUUGUGUACGACUUGACUUGUGGAAAUGAAAAACAGAGUGACCUUGAUAAAUACUGUAUAUAUACUUACAUGGAUCAGAGAUACAAACAUCCACAGGGUUGUUUCCGAGGUCUUCUUGUUCUUUCUGAAUUCAUGCAGCAGAUUCCCCAAGUUUGGGAGGACACUUUCUUAACUCAAUCAGCUGUAGUGUGUGUAUUGUUGAGAAUUGAUUCAAAGCCUGUUUUGUUAAGUUACUACAUAGGAUACGUUUUACUGUUAGUUGAAUAAGUCUUUCACUAGAGUUGAAAGAGUCUUUGUUAGGUUGCUAUAUUUUCAGAUUCAGUUGCUACUUUUUCUGAUAUGGUUCCUAGUUUUUAGUCAAGUAGAGUCUUGGAUCUUUUAGAGUUUGUAAGCCUAUAAAAGGCAGAGAUUUCCAGUUAAUAAAAACGCUCUUCUAAAAGAUAUUUCCUUCAUCUUCUUUGCGCAACUCUUACUUUUCUAGUUGAACAACCUCUCUUUUCCUACAUUCUGGUAUCAGAGCUUGCGUUCGGUCUCUGACUGGGCGAUAAAGAGAUUAAGAAACAGUGAGGGAGUGAAAUACAAGAAAAAGAAAAGGAGUUAUGGCAGCAAAUGGUAUGUCCUCUUCUUCACAGCCGCUCAUACCCGUCUUCAAUGGUGAAAAGUAUGAGUUUUGGAGUAUCAAGAUGAAGACUUUGUUUAGGUCUCACGAAUUGUGGGACAUAGUCGAAGAUGGGUUCGUUGAUGUACAAGAGCCGGAUGCAGAAGAAGAAAGGAGAUUAAAUGAAAUCAGAAAGUUGAACGCCAAAGCUUUGUUCUUUAUUCAGCAAGCCGUUCAUGAGACAAUGUUCUCAAGAAUUGCAGCAGCUGCUACCUCAAGAGAUGCUUGGCUGACUUUGAAAACCGAGUUUCAAGGUUCCUCAAAGGUAAUCACUGUGAAACUACAAUCUCUUCGUCGUGAUUUUGAAACAUUGUUCAUGAAAAACAGUGAAUCUGUGCAAGAUUUUUUAUCAAGAGUUAGCGGAAUUGUAAGUCAAAUGAAAUCAUAUGGUGAAGAGGUAGGCGAUGAAAUUGUAGUUUCAAAAGUUUUAAGAAGUUUACCUUCGAAAUUUGAUCAUGUGGUUGCAGCCAUAGAGGAAUCAAAAGACUUAUCUGUGUUUUUAUUUGAUCAAUUAAUGGGUUCUUCGCAAUCUCAUGAAUCACGGAUCAAUAAGUCAACAGAGAGGACUGAAGAACAAGCUUUUCAAGUGAAGGAACAGCCUCAAAUUCAGAAUGAGAAGUCACUAGAACAAGGAGUACAAGGACGUGGCAGAGGAUCUUUUAGAGGCAGAGGGCGUGGUAGAGGUAGAAGCCAAUCCAAGUGGACAAAUAGCCGUAGAAAUGGAGUGCAAUGUUACAAUUGUCACAGGUUUGGCCAUAUAGAAGCUAACUGCUGGUACAAAAAUGAUCAAGCUGGUUAUGUUGAGGAAGAGGAAGAAGAAAGCAUGCUUUUCAUGGCUCGCUCUACCACCAUAGAUCAUAAGACUGAUGUUUGGUUUGUUGAUAGUGGCUGCUCCCAUCACAUGACUGGUGACAGAAAAGGGUUUAAAGAGUUAGAUGAGACCAAAAAGAGGCGAAUUUGGCUUGGAGAUAAUAAGGAAAUUCAAGUCGAAGGUGAAGGUAUUGUUGCUGUCCAAACUAGUCAAGGUAAAGUGAAACUUAUUCAAAAUGUUUUAUUUGCUCCUAGUUUGGCACAUAACUUGCUAAGUGUUGGGCAAUUGUUGAAUAGUGGAUUCUCUGUCUUGUUUGAUGAUAGCUCAUGUGUUAUUAAGAAUAAAAAUUCAGGUCAAAUCUUAGCAAGUAUUCGUAUGACAGAGAAUAAAAUGUUUCCACUUGAAGUUUCAAAAGUCGAACAAGCCCUUGUUGUUAGUGAGAAAAAUCUUGAAGAGUCUAAGUUGUGGCAUUUGCGUUAUGGACACUUGAAUAUGAGUGGAUUGAGAUUGCUUAGUCAAAAUAAGAUGGUUCAUGGUUUGCCAAAUAUAGGACCUGUUGAAAAUGUAUGUGAAGGUUGUAUAUAUGGCAAGCAACAUAGAAAAUCUUUUCCUGUUGGAAGAUCUUUCAGAGCUACUAGUUGUCUUGAAAUUGUUCACGCAGAUUUAUGUGGUCCUAUGAACACAGAAUCACUUGCUGGUUCUCGAUAUUUUCUGUUAUUAACUGAUGAUUACAGUCGGAUGAGUUGGGUAUAUUUUUUGAAACUCAAAUCAGAAACUUUUGCAAGCUUCAAAAAAUUCAAGGCGCUGGUGGAAAACCAAGUCGGUAACAAAGUUAGGGUUCUUCGUACCGACAGAGGAGGUGAAUUCUUGUCCCAAGAAUUUAAGGUGUUUUGUGAAGAAAAUGGCAUUCACAGGGAAUUAACUGCACCUUAUACUCCGGAGCAAAAUGGGAUUGCUGAGCGGAAGAACCGAACUGUAAUGGAGAUGGCUAGGAGCAUGUUGAAGAGUAAGGAUCUUCCAAAUCAGUUUUGGGCUGAAGCUGUUCAUACUGCAGUUUAUCUGCUAAACAUUUCUCCGACAAAAGCAGUUAUGGGUCGAACACCUUUUGAAAUCUGUAAAGGUAGAAAGCCAUGGGUAAGUCAUUUGAGAAUUUUCGGUUGUAUUGCAUAUGCUUUGAUAAAUUCUCAACAUCAUAAAAAGCUUGAUGAAAAAUCUGAAAAAUGCAUUUUCUUUGGAUAUUGCUCUGAAUCCAAAGCUUUUAGAUUGUAUAAUCCCACAAAUGGUAAAGUGAUUAUUAGAAGAGAUGUUGUAUUUGAUGAGAACGCCUGCUGGAAAUGGGAAAGCAACAAUCAAAGCUCACAAGUUGCAGUGGGAAAUGAAGCCGUUCCUGGUGAAGCAGUAAGUCAACCUCUUGCUGAUACACCAAGCCACUCUUCAGGAAAUUCCAGCAACAUCAGUCCAAGUGGUAGCAGCCCAACAUUGAUGGUGCCUGACUCAGAAGAUUCUGAUGAAACUCCUCCACAGAAGUUUAGGUCGCUGUCAGAUAUUUAUGAAACAUGUACCUUUGCUUUAUUUGGUGCAGAUCCAGCUAGUUUUAAGGAAGCUUCAACAAAAAUGGAAUGGAGGUGUGCAAUGGAAGAAGAGCUUAUGGCAAUAAGAAAGAAUGGGACAUGGGACUUGGUGGACCUUCCAGAUGGAAAAAAUGUUAUCGGAUUAAAAUGGGUGUUCAAGACAAAAUACCAUGUUGACGGGACCGUGCAGAAACACAAAGCCAGAUUGGUCGCAAAAGGAUAUUCGCAGCAACAAGGUAUUGACUUUGACGAGACUUUCUCUCCAGUUGCUCGCUUUGAAACAAUAAGAAUCGUUUUAGCUUUGGCUGUACAAUUAAAAUGGAAGGUUUAUCAAUUUGAUGUUAAGUCUGCAUUCCUUAAUGGCGAUUUGGAAGAAGAAGUGUAUGUGACACAACCAGAUGGCUAUGUGGAGAAAGGAAAGGAGAACAAAGUAUACAAGUUGAAGAAAGCACUCUAUGGGCUAAAACAAGCUCCUCGCGCUUGGUAUAGCAAAAUCGACUCACAUUUCAGAGAAAAUGGAUUUGAAAGAAGUAAGAAUGAACCAACUUUAUAUGUGAAAAAAUAUGGAAAAAAUGAUCUUUUGAUGGUGUGUUUGUAUGUUGAUGAUAUGAUCUAUAUGGGCUCAUCUCACUCUCUUGUAUGUGAUUUCAAAUCUUCUAUGAUGAAAAAAUUUGAAAUGACUGAUUUGGGAGUGUUGCACUAUUUUCUUGGACUUGAAGUGAAGCAGGAAGAAGAUGGAAUUUUCAUUUCACAAAGGAAGUAUGCCAUUGAUCUUCUCAAAAGAUUUAAUUUGCUUAAUUGCAAAACAGUGGCUACUCCUAUGAAUGUAAAUGAGAAGCUGCAACUUGAUGAUGAUAUUGAAAAAGCUGAUGGAAGUUAUUUUAGAAGCUUAGUUGGAGGCUUAAUUUAUUUGACGCACACUCGUCCUGAUAUAUCAUUUUCUGUUGGAAUGAUUUCAAGGUUUAUGCAUAGGCCUUCAAAGCAUCAUCUUGGAGCAGCUAAAAGAGUCUUGCGCUAUGUUGCUGGAACUACAGGAUUUGGACUAUGGUACUUUCGAAGUUCCAAUUUUAAUCUCUAUGGUUAUUCAGAUAGUGAUUAUGGGAGAUGUUUGGAUGAUAGAAAGAGUGUUUCCGGGAACCUUUUCACUCUUGGUUCUGCAGCUAUUACUUGGAGCUCAAAGAAACAACCAACAGCAGCGUUGUCUACUUCCGAGGCUGAAUAUGUCGCAGCAGCAUCUUCAACAUGCCAAGCAUUGUGGCUCAGGAAAAUACUUGCUGAUCUUCACCAAGAACAAAAGGGGGCAACAAAAAUUUUCUGUGAUAAUCUAUCAGCAAUUGCAAUGGCUAAAAAUCCUGUUUGUCACGGAAGAUCGAAGCACAUAGAUAUUCGGCACCAUUUCAUCCGUGAACUUGUUGCAGAAGGGCUGAUUGAGUUGAAGAGUUGUAGCACCGAAGAACAAGUGGCAGAUAUUCUUACUAAAGCACUUCCUCCAGCAAAGCACAAUUACUUUAUGUUACGCCUCGGCAUAUGUGAUUUUGAAUCAAGGGGGAGUGUUGAGAAUUGAUUCAAAGCCUGUUUUGUUAAGUUACUGCAUAGGAUACGUUUUACUGUUAGUUGAAUAAGUCUUUCACUAGAGUUGAAAGAGUCUUUGUUAGGUUGCUAUAUUUUUGGAUUCAGUUGCUACUUUUUCUGAUAUGGUUCCUAGUUUUUAGUCAAGUAGAGUCUUGGAUCUUUUAGAGUUUGUAAGCCUAUAAAAGGCAGAGAUUUCCAGUUAAUAAAAACGCUCUUCUAAAAGAUAUUUCCUUCAUCUUCUUUGCGCAACUCUUACUUUUCUAGUUGAACAACCUCUCUUUUCCUACAUGUAUAUCUGCAAACUCAAUGGGUAUCUCUUUCAAGUUUUGGCAACUUCUAAUCAUGAGGCGCUCAAGGCCAGGAAAAUUGUCGUUUGUGGCUUUCUAGUACUUGAGAUAAUUACCUUCAAUUAGCAAAAACUUCAAUUUAUUAAAUCCCCUAACAAUUGGAUGCCAUUCUUUGCCACCACAAGCGUCAUCCAUCAGCUUGAGCACCUCAAGGUUAGGCAAUUCAGCAAUGAUAUCCAAGUACGACCAACUUAGCGAAGUUCUUUCCAACUUCAGCUUCUUGAACGUUGCAGGAAAAGCUCUUGCACUUUCUGGAAAAAGCUUAGAGCACCACAUAAAACUCAAAGUUUCAAGUUGCUGCAGAUGGACAAGAUUAUUGAGAAUCCCAGAGUCCCGAAUACUAUUAAUUUCAGUCUCAUAUCCACUGAUUCCUAAUUCUUUGACAUUCUGAAUCCCCAUAAUAACCUCCUUCUUGCAACAAAGUGGAGACAAGUAAGAAAUAGUUUGUAAGUUUGACAAAUCCAAGUGCCUUCCCUUGUCAACAGAUCGACUUGGGCAAUUUGGAAAAUAUAAUCUGGGCAGUUGAAGAUGCCUUCCUUUGUCAGCAGAUUUUGUUGGGCAAUCUGGCAAAAAAUAUACUCUGGGUCGUUUAGGAUGCCUUCCUUUGUCGGCAGAUCCACUUGGGCAAUCUGGCAAAUAAAAUGCUGGCAGUUUGAGAUGCCUUAAUUGCAUUAGUCCCCAAAUUUCCUCAGGAACAGUUAUUUUAACUAAUGGACUAAGCCCUUGAACAAUGAAUGUCUGCAGAUUCCAUAACCUGCAAAUUUCUCGAGGUCUGUCUAAACACACAUGGCAGAGCAAUGAUAGGUACCUCAACCAGAUGAGGCUUCCUAUCUGUACAGGGAAAUUACCAAUCCCCAAGUGUCUCAACUCCAAGACUUUGAGUAAUUUGAAAUGAAUAAGCUCUGAUUUCAGAAAUGGAGGAAAAAAUGAACCCUUAAGAUGAAAAGAGAAAAUAGAAUGGGUUCGUUUCAAAAGAUCGUUGUUGUCAUGAUCUCUCAACUGACGAUGUACAGGGGUAAGAAGUGCCCUAUAAAGACCAUUGGGACAGUAAAAAAAUUCAUCACCAGUCACCCAUUUAAAGGGCCGCAUUUUUUGCAUACUGAGAGGUCCCCAUACUGAAUCUGAUUGGUCAAGCACAAUGUCGUUCAUGAUAAAAAUGUUCUCCCUUUGAAUUUCUCUUACGCACAGGUCAUAUAUUAGAUCAUGAACCUUACAUGAUCUAAUUUUUGUUCCAUCUAUACUUUUCUUGCAGACGAGAACAAGACAUCUAUCGACAAGCUCUUGCAAACACUUCUCAGCCUCUCCUUCCAAAUCAUUUUCCAACUUUAGGAACCCCUCAGCAAACUAUGAUCUCUUCAAAUUCUUCACUGGUAUCUCACUGUCUUCUGGAAAUAUUCCGAAAUGCAGAAGACAUGCUUUUAGAUCGCUAGUCAAGUGAUUGUAACUCAACCCAAGCACACGUGAACAUCGUUCAUCAGGAUCAUU
rnacentral:lncRNA from 1 species